rnacentral:lncRNA from 1 species
UUCCAGAUAGGUUGAUGGGAACAUAUUAAGGAGGUGCUUACGAUUCAUUGACUGCAAGUUAUUUAUCUAUCUAUUAUAUACUAAAAGUCUAUUAAACUUUCUACAAAAGCUCUUAUGCUACCACAUGGCGCUCUAAAUACGAUCUCAAGCUGACAUGUGGCGUUAAUAAAAUCCAUCCCUUAAUUUUCAUUUAACUCGGUGGGCCCUAUAUUCUAAGCCGUUGAUUUGGUUGAGAUUAAAACAAACCAGCGAGCUGUGCAUGAACCAAGCGCCUCUGGAACCGCUAUGACCCGGAUUCCCGUGCGGGCAGGGUGAUCGAUCAACAUGUUGAUCUCUGAUCGAUCGAUCGAUCAACCUGUACAGUGGACACCCUUCUCCUGCUCAUCCUAGCCUCCUUGCAAGACAUGUGGAAGCCCUGAUGAUUAAAUCACUAUUCGCUUUUGGUAUUCACACUCCUAUGCAUAUGUACAUGUGGUUUUUGCAUGCAUACUAUACGCUGAUUAGUUUGCUUGCCGAAUAGUAAUAAAUCCAACCCAUCUCUAACCUCUGCUUCACUCCCCUUUUCUCCCUUCUUUGUAUGUCUAGCAGUUUGAGAUAAAAUUUUAUGAUAAUAAAUUUCAAACAGCCAUAACUUCUAAAUUAUAUGUUUGAUUUUUAUCUAUUCAUCAUCUAUCUAUUAUAAACUAAAAGUACAUUAAACUUCCUAUAAACACUCUUAAGCCGUCACGUGGACUCCUACCAACGCUCCUAAACCGCCACAUGGUGCUCUAAUAAUUUAAAGAAAAUUCUAAGAAAAAUAUCUAACCGUCAAUUUUCAAUUUUCAUUUAAAGCGGUGGACCUAAUACUAUUGACCAUUGGAUCAAAACUAAAUCCCCCAUCACCCUUCUAUCCCGGACCCAUAUGCAUGUACGUGGACAAUUACAUCUGGUAGCUACAACGUUUAUUUAUUUGAUUGCUUGAUUUAUUAUUGACAUUAGGCAGGAUAAUUAUAUAUGGCCUCGGUGUGCUCGAUUGAUGCAUGCAUCCGGUUCCUGAUUUUUUUUCUAAAUACAUGAUAUAUAUGUACACCAUAAUUUAUCAUCAUAAUAAUUAUUAGAUCUAUUUCUCAUGGAGACUGAUUUAGGUGUGAACGUGCAAGCGCUAGGGAUUUACAAUAGGAGUGAUCUUGGUGCUGUAAAUAAACAAUUAUUUUAGACGGUCUACACGUUUAAUUUAAGAUACACUUGAGCAGCUUUAGUAUUUUUUUCAUCAAAUCAACAAUCCAAGACCAUGUUGGCUAUUUGCUUUACUAUUAUAUCAUAUUAUAUCUUAUAGGUCCUCCUCAUACAUAUAUUAUACAACCGUGUAUUUAUGAUACAUCGCAUGCCAAAAAUAAUUAUUACACAAUUAUAUUUAACCAUCCAAUCGUAUUCAUAAUAGGCUAUGUGGAGCCUCGCACACACUCUAAAUGAAAUGCUCACAGAUGGAUUGUCUCUCAAACUAUGCAAUCAUAUUACAAACCCAUGAAUGUAGUGUAGCCUCAUGUUGUACCCAAUACAUCUGUCAAUAAAUAAUGGGCGACCUAACUAACAUCAGUAAUCCAAUUAAAAAAAAGCACCUUGCUUACUUUAUAUUUAAUUUGGUAGGCAUGUUUUCUAAACAAAAUAAGUCUACCUUCUAUUUAGAUGAUGAAGAAGAUUAUAAAUAAUUGCUUAUAGAAAUUAUUUGAAUAUGAUAUGGUAUAAAGGUAACUAAUAAGUUAAAAUUAUAUAAGAAAUACUAACAAAAAAUGUGAAUAUAUCGUACUUUUAAAGUGUGGUAGAUUUUCUCCGGUGAUAUUCUAUCCUUAUAUGCUUCUCAAACCUAACCUACGAUGCAUGCCCGCGCAUUCGUGUUGAGUUGUAUAAAACAAAACAGAAAAUAGAAAAAUAAAUGCCAAUAUGAACUACAUUAAUUGAAAUAAUUGGUGAAAAUCUUAUAACUUAUUUUGCUUCAUUCUUUUUUCUUAGAUAUUAAUGAUUUUUCUUGCAUCGCAUCAAUUUUUUAAUUAAGUGCUUAGAUUAUUUUUUUUCUCUAUCGUACGCCACAGUAUUAUGAAUUUCUCUACAUAUUAUUGCAAAUAUAAGCAACAUACUAAGGUUACCGUACAUAAUCGGUUUAGAAGUUAUAUUUCUUACUAUUAAAUUUAAUUUUUAAGGGUCAAGUUGAUUAGGUUUUUUCUUUUUAAGAAAUACAAUAGAUCACAGAUAUCAUAGGGAAACAAGACCUAGGAUACAUGUAUAUCAUCUCUGUCCUAUUCAUAUGUAAGUAAUAAUUAAACUGCAUCAAUAUAAACCAAAUAAAAGAAUCGCUAGCUAGAUGGUACAAAUAAAACACCUUUGAUAGCAAUUAAAGUAUUUUUAAGAUUUGAUAGAAAAAAGUUAUCCCCUAAAGAAACACCUACCUUUUAAAUUACAUUUAAUUUGUAGAUAUGUUUUCUAAAUAUACUAAAUUUGUCUUAUUUUAGAUGAUGAAGAAGAUUAUAGAAAAUUGCUUAAAGGAAGAUUAAAUAUUAUAUGGCAUAAAGCUAACAAAUAGGUUAAAAAUUUAUCUAAGCAAUACAUCCUAUGAUACAUGCCCGCGCGAAUGCGCGGGCUACCUUCCUAGUUUAUGUAAUUUGAGGAUAAUAAAAGGAAUUGUCUAAACAUCUAGACAUGGUAGCAUCUAAUUUGCUUCAGGAAUUAAUUGUCUAAUUUGCUCGAUGCUUUGUUCUCUUUUCUGCCAGCAAAUAUACAAACCAAAAUGUUAAUUCAUUUCUCAAAGCUUUAUUUGGAGCAAGGUUAGAGUGCACAUUCUGUAUAUUUUGGUCAAUCAACAUAUUAUGACUGCCUUUUUUUUAUCAUCAUUUAUCUGAAAGGCUGAAACAUAUUAUGUUCAAAACACCUGGUAUUUUUUUACAUUUUUUAGUACAACAAGAAAAUCAAGUUCCUCAGCUUUUUGUGAAACACUUUGUCCUGAAUGAUGGAGGUAGCAUCAGUUAUGGAAUUGGUCUUUAGAAAAUGAUGGUGUAAGGUGAUCUGAUUUGUUCAUUGAGUAAUCGUGCACAUGUAAUGUGGCAUGCCUUCCUUUAUAAUUAUGAAGCCAUUCUUAACAACGGCCACAAGUUUCGAAAGCUGAUAGAACCAAACAGGAAUAUAAAAGUGAAUUUGGGCAAAAGUAUGGACUGAUUCUUCAUAUACUUGGAAUGGUUGGGGUGCAAUUCUUCAUAUACUAUGUGUGUAUUGUGACAUAUUAUUUACUGUUAAGACGGUGAUAAGGAUUUGAGAGGUGCUAGAGGGAGAAUACCUUCAAUACUCAGUUUAUUUCCUGACCUGUUAUGAUUAACCUGGAUUUCAAGCAUUAUACAAUAGGAGAAUAUUUGAAUAUUUUGUGGUGUCAGUGGUAGAAGAUAUACGUUGAGGACUUCAUUAAGAUUAAUCUAGACGAUAUAUUUGGACUACACCGUAUGUUUGUGUUCUCACUGGAAAAUACAAGCUCUAGUGCAGUUGUCAGGUAUGGUGACCUUUGAUUUGGAUUUAUUUAUGAUAUUUCCUCAACAAUCUAUUAGGUUUUGUGCUCUCACUAAUUUCUUAUCUAUCUCAAAAAUUUAACAGAUGGUUCCUUAAUUUGUAGUGAGUUUGGUUCCCGUCGCUGGUCCUAUGGUCCAAUUGUAUUUUCAGACAGUCCAGCUUGCAUGUGGAUUUGAGCGGAGUGAGUUGAUUAAUGUUAGCGUAUACAGACCAAAUAUGUCUAACAUCCCCUCUCCGUUUGCCUUCUGAUAUAUUCUUUUACCCUGUGGGAAAGAUUUAUGUAGGCUAUGAUUGAAUGCCACAAUAUUGCAAUGUCAGGCAUAUAACACAGGGGAGUGCAGAAAUUCUGUUGAGAGAACUCAAUCUGGUAAUCUGCUCCAAGCCUCCAAUCUUUUUGCUAUUGUUUGCUUUGGCUAUGUACUGGAUUGAAUUUGAAGAUGUUUAUUUGAGCGUAUAUAUUAUUUUCAUUCAGCGUUACUGGAUUAAAAUUCAAGUAUAUCAAAUUACAAGAUUGCAUAUAAGUGAGAAGGAUUGGGGUGAUCAUUGUCUGUAAUUCAAGUGCAUAAGACUUGCUGAUCUGGUCACCAUUGGAACUGGUCUAAUUUAGAAUUAUUGGUUUAAAUUGAACUCCUCUGUCGGUUUCCUACAGGGAAGUGCUGAAUGCUAAUGCCAUCUAAAAUCAGUUCCCUGCAGGGAAGUGCUGAACGCUAAUGCCAUCUAGACUCUCAGUAUCCUGUGGGACAUAGUGAUUCCUUAUUUAUUUUCUUAUAACAUUGAUUGUUCAUGAGCCAAUAUCUUUAGUUGUUAGCUCUGAAAGACAGUAUGGUAUGUUUAUUUUGCUGUCAAAAAAUAGACAAUUAAUUGUGAAGUGUAAAGUUAAGUUUGGACUCUUUAUGUAAUUAUUUGUGUAGCACAUGCACAUAAUGCUAAGGAUUAAUUUGAUUCUAAUUUAUCUAUUAGGAGAUUUCUUGGACCUAAGUAAAAUAGGUUCCAUUGAAUACAUGUUUGUGCUUUUACAUCUAUGCACGUGUAAUACACUGAAAUACUUUAAUUCAGUUUUGUUGAGGGUGAUGCAUUGGUUCAGAAAUUCAAUUUAUGUUGUUUCAAAAUUUUUGAAUGCAGAUAAUGUAUCUCUGAUGGUACAAAUAAAUUGUAGUCAUAUGAGUUGUAAGUGAUAUCACAAAAAUCAUUCAGUUUUGAUGGCAAAAUUUACUGUAUUGACUGUUUCCCUUUAUUUCUACACAGAUUCCAAGCAACUGACUUUGAUUAAAGAUGCAUCAACUGAGCAUUGUUAGCAAUACAAAAUUACCUGAUUGGCAAUUAUGAAUGCAUCCUGAGCAUCACCUUCAGUAUAUGGAGGUUCAUUUGUUAGUCAUUCAAGCGGCUCUUGCUUAUAACAGUUGUUUAUCUUCAAGUUCCAAUUUUUUUAUCCCUAAUGUCUCAUUGUUUUUUAGAAUUAUUGGUAAAUCUUGUACAUAAAAGUUAUAGUCUUUGGAAAAAAUUUGUAGUAAGCAAGGCUGUUUCUGAUUUCCUAACAGCUGUUAGUGUGCAGGAAUUAGAGAUAAGCUAUAUAUGAAGCUGCAGUUGUAGAGGUACACUGACCAAACAAAUUGUUAUUGAAGAGAAAAAAAAUAUCUAAGGUUCCCCUGAAUAUUUCAAACGAAUUGUGUGUUCUUCGCCUCCAUAAUAAACUCAUGUGAGAUAAGAGUUAAGGAUUUUGACCUACUUUUUAAGCAGGGGCACUUCUUGGAUGUCCUAAUAUUAUGUUUGUUUAGUGCCUUUAAGGAGAACAGAAGCAAUGCUAGGCUCAGUGUGCUGCGUGUACGUUGUAGCAGAUGGAGAUUGUUCAUACUACGGAAAUGAUAAAGCAUUUUAAAGAUGUUUUAUGUAUUAAUGAAAUAAUAAAUCUAAUAUUUAUAUAUUUUCCUAAAUUUUCGGUGCCAUUAUUUAGCUUUUUCGAGGAAUAAACUAAACGGCAUAUUUGCAAAUGAAAAAUAAUUUGUGAAUAAAACUUUUAUAUACGUGUUCAUAACGAUCUAAAAGCAAAAGCUAAAAAAUAAACUACGAUGAAAAAAAAUCUUAAAAUCAACUCCAAAUUUAAGAUUGAAAUUUCAAAUUUUGACUUAUGAACAUAGGUAUAAGCGAAAAGAUCAUGUUCUUAUAUUCUUUCAAUAUAUAAUUUAUAAUUUAUAGGCAAUGGUAAGUCAUGUAUGUUUCUUCAUAUCACUCAUCUGUCAUGUAUACUUGUACGCACAUGUUUGAUUUACGUUUUAAAUAUCACCGUUGCAUUAGCACAGGCAUGCUACUAGUAAUUACAAAUUGUUCAAUAAGCAUUUGCAUUUAAUACAUAAGAAAUACACGCUUCGAUCAUUGUAUGACCUAGAUAUUCCGACAUUUGUAUUACAUUUAUAAAGUCCAUGGGUCCAAAAGAUCAUUUUUAUAUCACAAAAAUUUAAUUUAUGCUAGUCAUAUCACCGAAUGAACACAACACGCGCACACCCAUUGCCUAUGAGCACUCAAAUAGCACCUGGUCAUAACUCUAGUUUAAGCAUCGUCAUGACUACAGCUUGCUCGCUCGUCAUCUGCAUCGCUUUUCUCGCGCACUAAACGAGUUAGCUAACAAAUGAGCCAAGCCGAGCAACGAUUUUAGCAGAAAAAUAGUUUUUCUUCAUUGAUUUUAAAGAAAUAUACGUGUUUACAAUGAAUAGGCAGAAUGAUAUCGUUGUCGCAUAGGAGUGAUGCGAAUUCGCGGCAAGUUCACGUGGUGAGUGCACGACUUGGCAAACUUACGACGAGUUUGGAGCGAAUUACUCACGCGAUUGAUUGAUUAAUUAAUUAAUUGACCAUUAUUUUUAAUUUAGCGUCAUUAGCUGUCGAUUAAAAGUGAUUAAAUUAAUUUAUGCCGCGAAGAUUAAUUUAUGCUCGUGUCGUCAAUGAGGCUGAGUUUUUUCCCCAACUUUCCCAACUCACUUUCCUCGUUUUCCGCGUGUACGCUUUUCAAACUACUAAACAGUAUAUUUUUUUGCAAAAAUUAUCUAUACGAAAGUUGCUUUAAAAAUUCAUAUUAAUCCAUUUUUUAAAAAUUAGUAAAUACUUAAAUAAUCAUAAGAAAAUAUGCCGCUCCAUUUUGCGUGCACGGGACCUCACCUCCCGAACCAGCCUUCUUCUGCUAAAAAGUAAUGUAACUCACAUCACCUUAGCAGGAACUCUCUUCUUUGAAGGUUGUCCGUCAACUUCACCUGGAUCAUCUCGUCUAAUCUUGUAUCGUAGUGCAUUACAGACCGGGCAUGCUUCUAGGUUCUCGUACUCCUCACCACGAUAGAGGAUACAAUCGUUCGGACAUGCGUGUAUCUUCUGAACCUCCAGUCCUAGAGGGCAGACUAUCUUCUUAGCUUCGUGGCAGACUAUCUUCUUAGCUUCGUGUGUUGUUUUGGCAACUUAUUUUCCUCCAGGAGAAUAUUCUUUACUAGUUUCAAUAACUCGCCAAAUGCCUUGUCACUGAAACCUGAAACCAUUUCUUGUCUUCCAUUGCAAGAAUUCAAGAGUGGUACCCAAAUUUUUGUGCCCCUGUUCGCAACCUGGGUACAACGGCGUCUUGUGGUCCGCUAGCAUACGUUCCAAUUUCUUGACCUCCUUUUCACUUUCGCAGUUUUCCUUGACGUCCCGCAACAUCUGACCAAGAUCAUUUGCAGCGUCGUUAUCUUCAACAGCCCCGUCCACCUCGUCCGUUGUGUUUCCUUCAAAUCCACCAUAAUGAGCCCAGUCCAGAAUGUUCUCGUCCUCUACUUCAUCUUCUUCUGCUUGAACCCCUAGCUCUCCGUGUGAGGUCCAAACAUUAUAGCUCGGCAUGAAGCCCGUCUCAAACAAGGGAAAAUGAAUAGUUCUUGAUGUAGAAUACUCCUUCUGGUUUUUGCAUUUAGUGCAUGGACAACGGGUAAAACCCUUAUGCUUGUUAGUUUCGGCCACCCUCAGAAAAUAAUGCACAUCGUCGAUAAACUCUUUCGACCGUCGAUCCGCGUACAUCUAUUGCCGAUCCAUCUACAUGACAAGCACAAAAAUCGAUAAAAAUAAUCCACGAAAGUAAAACCAAUUAAACAAUAAUUUUAUAUAAUUAUUCAUGUAAUAAUUAUAAAAUAACAUCACAUAUUACUCAUGUUUUUUUAUAUUUAAAGUUGUAAACAAAUAUUAAAUUGGUUGUACUUAUUUUAAUUUCAAAUUAAUUUAGUUUUCUAUUAUUUUAGACUAAUUUUCUAUCUUUUUACUUUCUCAUCUCUUUUAUCAUAAGUUUUUAUAAAUUUCUAAACAAACCUAUUUUCUAUAUUUUUUCCCUACACAAACUUUCUCUCUCAUCAUCUUCCAUUCAAGUUUCUAGAGGCAAAAAAAAGUAUAGAAAACUAAUCUCUAAAUGUAAAUGCCAAGCAAAAAAAAAUAGAGGAGGAUAGAUUACUAACCUUUUAUACACCUCAAAGUUGUAUAUUAUCACCAAACCAAAUUCACAAAAAAAUGGGCAGCACCUCCCCUCUCCUCUUAAAAAAAAUGAAGCCCUGCUCUGGAUGAAGGAGGAAGAAGAAGAUAUAGGCAUGCUAACUAUAGAUCCAGGAACUAAAGAUUGGAACUUUAGUCCCGGGACUAAAGAUCCCUGGGGGCCUGACAACCUCUGAUAAUCGGCGAACCGGGACUAAAGGUCACAAGAUUCCUUUAAACUUAUUAACCAGGACGAAAAAUGGUUUUUAGUCCCGGGGGUUUUUUUUUUGAACCGAGGCUAUUGCGGAAUUUGGCCGACCGGGCAAAGAUCACUUCUCUAGUAGCGAAGGAUCCACCGGCGCCAGUGACGGGAGGGGUGGAUCCGGCGCCCUCUUCCCCUUCCCCGCAGGCCGCGCGGAUCCCGUCGCCUCUCCGUCACCCCACGCGCGCGGAUCGAUCUAGCGCCCGCUCCCCCUCCCGCGUGUAUCCCGGCCGCCGCUUGUCUGCCCCUCACGCACUCGGAUCCGGCACCCGCUCCCCCUCCCACUGACAAUGUGGGCCCACAAGUCAGCCUGGUAGUUCGGUGGGAACGGAUACCACGGUUGUUUUCUUUUUAAUAUGGCAUAGAUAUCGCGUGCUUUAGUUAUGGAACCGCCGGCUAUAUGUUUCCCUUUUUGUCGGUUCUGUUCCCUUUCGGCCAAAGGAACCUCCUCAAUCCUUUCUAAUUGCUAUUCAUCCCCCAAAAAUAUUCCCACCCGUGCAUUGCAUGAUCGAUCUCGAUUACCAAAGGGAUGAUAAUGCAUAUAGCACUGCAUUCGUUCGUAAAUAUAAGCAUUUUAUUUAGUGCAUCUUAAUCGAUUCAAUCCUACAAAAAAUAUAUAUACAUAUAAACCAUUUAUAUUAUUAAAAUAGAUAUAGAAUAUACUAUUUAUAUUUAAUUACAUAUAAACUUCAAUAGGUGGUAGGUAGGGGUGAAAACGGUAGGAAUCAGUAACAUCUCUUCGGAAGCGACGCUUGAUCGGUCGAUAAUCGACUAUAUUUAUCAUUUAAACUACUCAGCGCCGACAUUAAUACGAUGCAUAAAGAAAUUAGAAAAAAACAAAAUUCAUAAAUACCCAAAAACGGUACGGUAAAAAACGGUGCCCUAUAUACGAAAACGGCGCUCGGUCGAUCGGAAUUUCCGUAACCGUUUUCACCCCUAGUUGUAAGGAUAGGGUUAGAGUCGGCUUUGUGACCCGACAACCCUUUAAAUAGAGAAAAAUAUGUCACAAUGUAAUCAUAACGACUAUAAUAUUCCAAUAAUCUAAGCUUUUAUCAGUAUACAAUACCUCCUUAAUUAUUACUACCACUCAUAUGGAGAUGGUCGGACCAACGUAUAAGCCAGCUAAUUUAGAGUUGGCAUCAAACGUUGAAAUAAACAUUAAUUAGUACAUACAUGUUUGAUCACAGCUAAACUUUUAUUCAAAUUAGCUUGUGACCAUUGAUACAGGGAUGCCAGCACAAAAGUAAACUGGCAUAAAACAGUUUCUAGAGUUGGCACUGACGUAAUUCAACGAAUGAGCCAAGUAUAUGCUGCCAUGCUGGUGCCUACGCGCAACAUUUGUUGAUGUAUGAUAUUAGUACAAAACUUAGUAUAAUAGAACAAUGAUCGAUAGUUUAAAAAAAUAUCGUAAUAUUUGGUAUAAUAACUUACUCUACUGCAUAAUUAUCAUCGGAUCAUAACAUACAAUAAUUGUUACGAUGACAUAAACUAUGUAUAUUCAAAACUCUUCUAAUAAAUAAUUUAAUCAGAUCACUCGUCUAUCAUAAAACCGUACUUAGGGUGUUUAGAUGGUGGGAUAGGCUCGGAUAGGAUAUGGCCGCCCAAAUUUUGAGGGUGUUUGGAUGAAGGACAGCACUAGGAUAUGGCCACCACAUAGGAAAUAUUCCCUUGGGAUACCGGCUCUGUGCAUCCGGCCAAGGCGGCCCAGGCUCUGCGCAAGUCACGCAUGUGAAUGCCUCUGCAUGCGCUCACCUCCUCCCCAUCCCUUUUCGGGGCCUGCUAAUGGGCGGGUGAUCACGGGGAGCGAUCACCCCGCCCCUCCCCCCUAAUACUCCUCUCUUCUCUCCUUUCUACUACAAUUUUAAAAGAAAAAUAAAGUUAGUAAAAGAAAAUUAGAAAAAAAAAUCUAAUACCCUUAUUCACGUGCAUAGAUCUUAUACCGUAAAACUUUGCGCGUAUAAAAUAUAUUCUAUAUAAAAAUAUUUGAAUCCAAAUUCGAAUUUAAAUCGGGUAUAUAAACUUUUGACUUAUAAACUUUUUCUCUAUAAACUUUAGAUAUGUAAACUUUCGGUAUAUAAACUUACCAAAACAGAAAAGUAAUGUAGUGCUAUAUAAAAAAUAUAUGAAUUCAAAUUCGAAUUUGAAUCGGGUAUAUACCCUUUUGACUUAUAAACAUUCGCUCAGAUGUGUAAAUUUUAGGUGUAUAAACUUUAGAUGUAAUAUAAAAUUACUAAAACAGAAAAGAAUGUGGUGUGAAAAAAAAAAGGUGGGAAGGGGAUCCGAUCGCCCGAUCGCGGGGCAAUCGAUCGCCAUUAGUCUUUUCGUCCCUUUCCCCCUUUUCUUUCCUCUCUUCUCACCGGUUUCAUUUGUGCCAAAGCCAUAGAGCUCUCCUCCCUCCUCUGCACACACCUUCCGGCGGCGCACCAGGCGGACUCGAGGACGGAGUGGGAGACGGGCGGCGACUCCGGGCGGUCGCGGGCGGCGACUCCCGGCGGCGCGGCGGCGACCUUCCCGGCGGCGAGGGCGGCGACUCUCCUGACGGCCCAGGCGGCAAGGACCUCGGGGGCAACGAGCAACAAAUCUGGGCAUUCCAUUCCUCUUCCAUUCCUCUUCAAAUCAAGGUAUACUACAAAUCUGAGCAUACUACUUGUAUUUUGGGGAUUGAUUUGUUUAGAUUUGAGUGCUAUAGUAGUUUCUAAGCAUGUGCAUGAAUGGUUGAUAGUGCUAUAUUUGCCAUUUUUUGAUAUUUUGUUCAGAUCUGAGUGCUAUAUGUUGUAUGUCUCAAUAUAUGUGUGUAUGAAUAUGGUAGACCUGAUUUCGUAUCAAACUUUGGCAUUGUAGAUGGACAGCAGAACAAGGUUUCUGAUUUAUGCGGCUGCAUCGUAUAUGUUGCUGCCAAUGAUGGCUAUGGUUAUUGAGUCUAGAAAAAAGAAAAGGAAAAGGGUUCCAAGGAGAGAAGGGAUUACCUAUGGGCCAAUAGAUGAAAGGGAUAGGAAAAGAUUUGAUUAUCUUAAUGACAAGAUUUGGAAAAAUGAUAUCAUCUGUGUGAAUAUGCUUUGGCUUAAACGAGCACCUUAUUUUCGUUUUUGUAGACUUUUUAGGGAUCGUGGCUUGCUUGUGGAUACUAUAUAUAUGUCUGUUGAAGAGCAAGUUGCUAUGUUCUUACAUACAAUCGGGCACAAUGUUAGAAACAAGGUAGUUGGCACUAAUUUUGAUAGGUCCGGUGAAACUGUUAGCCGAUAUUUCCACGUAGUCCUUCGUGCUAUUGGUGACAUGAGAAAGGAAUUAAUAAGGUCACCAUCAACAACGACUCCAUCAAAAAUUCUAGGGAACCCAAGGUGGGAUCCUUAUUUUAAGGUAUGAUAUAUUAUGAAGUAACAACUUCCACUGGAAUGUAACCCCAAUGUAUAGUAAACUAUAAGCUCUCAAGGUGGCAUGUAAAACGGAUAAAAAUAAAAAGAAAUUAGGGGAACACAUUCAAAAGGUCACUAAGGACAGAUCAGAAUAAGAGCUGGAAUAUAAUGCAAGUUAACAGAAACAACCAAAACAAGCAAUGAAUGCAACAAAAAAAUCACAACAGUAAACUCAAAACAUAAAACAAAUCGCUAAAUACUGUACUAGUAGAAUGGUAGUGGAACCAAAAUUUUGUGACACAUUAAGGGCCUGCUUGGGAGUUUAGUUUUUUUUUAAGUAAAACACCUGUAAAUUUGGAUUACCCAAAAAUAACAGUGAAACCCCCUCUAGGAUCUACUUCAUCUGUUUGUAAGAACUGAAUCCUACAUGGCCAUAGCAAUGUGUAUGGACAUUUGUGUCUAACAGAAAUUUCAGUUCAUAGGAUCAAUCUGGAACUACAAAAUUUGAUAAACAAAUAUAUUCAGAUUGAAUCUCAUUGUUCAUCAAAAUUUCAGAACAGAACGUCAAGUUGAUGCCUUAUUCCAACCAUUCAAAGAGUAGCGUGAGUAUAAACGAGGAUCUGUCAGCCAAUAGCUCGAUUAUUGCCGGAGUCCCCAAAAUUCACACACAAAAUAAACAACUGACUCAAGCUGGAAAUCCUCAUAUUCUUCACCUACCGAGCCACCGAUGUGUUUCGCAGCUACUAUGAUCAAUCGUGUCGUCCAGAUAGAGGACACGUCGGUAGUGGCGGCGGCGGCAGCUCAGAUCGAGGACCGGUGACGGAGCUUAUCUAUGGCGCCCCUCGGCGGCGACUCAUAAUGAAUGAAGCCGCCCCACCGGCGACAGUUCAGAUCAACAACUCCCCUCGGCAGCGCGGUGGCGCAGACUGAGGGCAACCCCGGCGGUGGGGAGCGGAAAAAGGUUUCGGCGACAACGGCGGAGGCGCCGGGGCAGUGGCUUGAGGGAGAGGCGCCCAUGAAGGCGAUGUGUUCGGGCAGCGCAAUGCCCAAGCCGCACGACGACUUAGCACUAGCUGCUGCAGCAAAGCAAAACCACACCCACGACGACGCAGCGGCGGCAGCGGCGGCGGCGGUGGCGGAAACCAAACGACCGGAAAAAAAAACCAAAUGGCUCGCCCGCGAUCGCCGGUGCGGCUGCUCAACCUCGACGGCGGCGCCCACCUCUUCACGUCGCCAUCAAACCGAGCACAGGAGGGAAAAAAAACCGAGCGAUUCGAUUCGCGAGAGGGCAAAGCAUCGAAGCUUACUUGCGGGGGUGGAGAAGCCAAAAAAAAAGUUUCAAAUCCACAGGACGAAUCCGUCAACCAGACGACCUCGAGACGCACUCCCCUCCCAAAUGGCGGCGGCGAGCGAGGCUGAGGCCGACGAACGUAAGAGACGAUGAACCGACCGCGCCGCGAAGAAAUCUCCGAAAUCUCGUGGAUUCGGUGGGGGGAGAAAUCGAUCAAUCUGUGGAGAGAAUUUUUUUUUUUAGAAUCCGAUGGAGAAAUCGGGGGGGAGGGGGGGGAGGAAAUCAUGGAUGAGCUGUCUCCGCGGCAUGUUCGAGGUAAAAUGUCUGCUCCGCUAACAUGGGCAGGUGGGCGCGUGAGAGCGAGACCAAUGUUUUCGUCGCGUGUCAGUGGUGGUGGGGCCAUGGCGUGUGGGGCCUGCUUCCUGAACCGGGGAUUUGCUUUGCUUUGUGUGAAUGAGAUGGAUCGUGCGCUGCAGUGUAUGAUUUGGCUGGUGUCGAAGGAGGAGGUGGUAUGCUACAGCUACACGCUGUGGUUACCAGUUUUUUUUUCUCUUUCUCUGACACGUUGUCUCCACAGAUUGAUCGAUUUCUCCCCCCACCGAAUCCACGAGAUUUCAGAGAUUUCUUCGCGGCGCGGUCGGUUCAUCGUCCCUUCCGUUCGUUGGCCUCGCUCGCCGCCGCCUACGCCUCAGCCGCCGCCAUUUGGGAGGGGAGGCUUGCGUCUCGAGGUCGUCUGGUUGAGAGAUUCGUCCUGUGGAUUUGGAACAUUUUUUUUUUGGCUUCACCCCCGCAAAUAAGCUUCGAUGCUUUUCCCUCGCGAAUCGAAUCGCUCGGUUUUUUUUCCUCCUGUGUGCUCGGUUUGAUGGCGACGUGAAGAGGUGGGCGUCGCCGUCGAGGUUGAGAGCAGCCGCGCUGGCGAUCGCGGGCGAGCCAUUUGGGUUUUUUUUUUCGGUCGUUUGGUUUCCGCCACCGCCGCUGCCGCUACCGCCGCCGCGUCGUCGUGGGUGUGGUUUUGCUUUGCUGCAGCAGCUAGUGCUGUGUCGUCGUGCGGCUUGGGCAUUGCGGUGCCCAAACACAUCGCCUUCGUGGGCGCCUCUUCCUCAGGCCGCCACCCCGGCGCUUCCGCCGUUGUCGUCAAAACCUUUUUCCACUCCCCACCGCCGGGGCUACCGGGGUGUCCUCGGUCUGCGCCACCACGCUGCCGAGGGGAAUUGUUGAUCUGAACUAUCGCCGGUGGGGCGGCUUCAUUCAUUCUGAGUCACCACCGAGGGGCGCCAUAGAUAUGCUCCAUCACCGGUCCUUGAUCUGUGCCGCUACCGACGUGUCCUCUAUCUGGACGACACGAUUGAUCAUAGUGGCUGCGAAGCACAUCGGUGGCUCGGUAGGUGAAGAAUAUGAGGAUUUCCAGCUUGAGUCAGUUGUUUAUUUUGUGUGAAUUUUGGGGACUCCGUCAAUAAUCGAGCUAUUGGCUGACAAAUCCUCGUUUAUACUCACGCUACUCUUUGAAUGGUUGGAAUAAGGCAUCAACUUGACGUUCUGUUGUGAAAUUUUGAUGAACAAUGAGAUUCAAUCUGAAUAUAUUUGUUUAUCAAAUUUUGUAGUUCCAGAUUGAUCCUAUGAACUGAAAUUUCUGUUAGACACAAAUGUUCAUACACAUUGCUAUGGCCAUGUAGGAUUCAGUUCUUACAAACAGAUGAAGCAGGUCCUAGAGGGGGUUUCACUGUUAUGUUUGGGUAAUCCAAAUUUACAGGUGUUUUACUUUACAAAAAAAAACUAAACUCCCAAGCAGGCCCUUAAUGUUUCACAAACUUUUGGUUCCAUUACCAUUCUACUAGUACAGUAUUUAGCGAUUUGUUUUAUGUUUUGAGUUUAGUGUUGUGAUCUUUUUGUUGCAUUCAUUGCUUGUUUUGGUUGUUUCUGUUAACUCAGUAUAUUCUAGCUCUUAUUCUGAUAUGUCCUUAGUGACCUUUUGAAUGCGUUCCCCUAAUUUCUUUUAUUUUUUAUCCGUUUUACAUGCCACCUUGAGAGCUUAUAGUUUUACUAUGCAUUGGAGUUACAUUCCAGUGGAAGUUGUUACUUCAUAAUAUUGGAGUAAUAUUAUAUUCUCAAACUAGUGUGUCUGGUUUGUCUAAGCCUUGCUCUUUGAUAUCUGCUAUUCUGUUCUACAAUCUUCUGGCAUGCAAUUAUGAGUUAGCUUAACUUCCUGAGUUCAAUUGUGCACUGCUCUGAGAGAGUAUAAAUCAAUAAGUUCAGAACGUAGCACCAGCUUUGACAAUCAUGCGCUGAUUCUUGUUACCCUGUUUUCUAACUUUGCAACAUUUUGUACUGCUUUGACAAGUAUUUAAUAUUUGCGAGUAGUCUAUCAAGUUUUGAGUUCAGCAGAGAUAAUAAUUUCGAGAGUAUUUGUUUGCAGGUUGUCAAAUGAGUGACUCAAUAAUCUAGAAAAUUUAUAUCAUGAGAAAAAUGUGCCAUUCAUGUGAAUCGGAAGAUGCAACAAUGGAUGGGGUCGAUGAUGGCCUUAUCUGUAGUACUUCUUGCUAUAAUAUGUGUGGCCAUGCUGACAAAUCUUCAAUAAUUGAUGGUGAGAUUGGUUGUCCAAGCAUGGAAAUAAGCCCUUGCAACACUCCUUAUGGCACUCCUCUUUUUAGCCGAGAAAGUUCUUGUUCAAGCUUUGCCAGUUGCUUUUCAAGCCUCGGUGAGUGUUGUUGCACUGUUCUCCUAUAGAUGAAAUGCUGUCAUUGAUAUCAUUUGCUAUUUUUUUUGCUAGCAUAACUAAUAUUUUUUAUGCCAUUUAUUUCCUAGAUGACUACCUAGUUGAAACUGACUCUGAAGAGGAAAUUGAGGUCUUAGAUACUGGCCAACUUCAUCCCGGCAUCUUAUUCUCUGAUGAAUCGAUGGAGCAAAGAACAGUGGGUUCUGUACAAGUGGAAGAAUGUCAAGUCAGUCAUGCUGCUGUUGUUGACGAUGAUUCUAGUAUUUCCAUUCCGACAAACCAGAACAUUUCAUCUGGUCAACAGCAGUUGGAGAUACAUCUUGAUGCUACCAAUGAAAAUUCUGUUCCAUCCAAUGUUAUUAUAGAUGCAAAUGUAACGGAUCCUCAUCAAGAUGUCAUUUCCAAUGGUGGACUUAUAGAAGCAUGUUAUGGUGUACCAUUGGAUGAUAUUGAUCUCAAACAAUCCAAUAUCUUAGAUGGUGAAGAGAUUACUAGCCUUCCUAUGGCUGACAAUGAAAUGACUCCACUGAAUGAUCAAAUUAUGGACCAAAUUGAUGAUAUGAAGGAAAUUAGUACUAUAGUUUACAACAAUACAAUAAGCGCUGAGCAGCAUGCAAAUUCAGGUUCAGAGUUUGAGAAAGGAAAUGAAUCCAGUGAAAACCUUUAUCCGCUAGUAAUGCCCAGUUUUGAUACAGACCCUCACAUUUGGUUACCACCAGACCCAGUCAAUAAGGACGAUGACACUGAUAUUGUUGCUAAUAACGAUGAUAAUAGUGACAACAAUGAUAGUUGGGUACAGUCAAGUUUCAAUAUUAGCUUUGAUGCAAAGAGAAACAAGACUAGUUGUGAAGACCAAUUGCAGAAAGCAAUGUCGGAAGUUAUGAAUGGGCAAUUCAAGAUUCUUGUUAGUCGUUUUUUAGCUGCUGAAGGGCUCUCUUUGUCUGAUGGAGAAGCUGACAAGAACUGGCUUGAUAUCGUUGCUUCACUAUCAUGGCAUGCUGCAUUACUUGUCAAGCCUGAUGCCAAUGUUGGAAAUGCAAUGGAUCCUUGUAUGUAUGUUAAGGUGAAAUGCAUAGCUUCAGGAUCUAUUGAGCAAAGGUAACCUACCAACAUUCUUCCUCAUUCUGCUUUUUUUUCUUUGCUUAGUCAUGUAGACAUGCCUUAACUAGCUCCCUUUUCUAUCUUUUUUUUUUGACAGUGAAGUCAUCAACGGCCUUGUUUUUAAGAAGAGCGCUGCUCAUAAGCAGAUGCGUGCCAACAUGAAGAAUCCUAGACUGUUACUUCUGCAGGGUGUUGUUGGCCAUUCUUCUGCAGGGCUAUUGUCAAUGGAUUCAAUGAAACAGGUGUGCAUGUAUGCCCUUAGUAGCAUAUUUACAUUAUGUACAGAGUUAUGUCAUAUGAUACAAGAUAUGCAAAUUUCUUUUCAUUGUCAUUGAUCAGGAAAACGAUCACUUGGAGAAAAUUCUCAGUGAUGUAAUUACCAAAUGCAAACCUGAUGCUAUAUUGGUGGAGAAAGCAGUCUCACGAAAUGUAAAUGAAUAUAUUCAUAAACAAGGAGUCACUGUAGUUAGUGACAUGAAUAUCCGUCGGCUGGAAAGAAUUGCUCGUUGCACUGGUUCUCCAAUUUUCUUGUUGCAGAAUGUUCUUGCAACACCCAACCUUAUUAAACAGUGCGAGUCUCUACAUUUUGAAAAGUUUAUUGAGGAGCAUAAUAUAACUGGAGGAGGAAAGAGAUCAGCCAAAACUUUGUUAUUUCUAGAAGGUUUUCGAAAGCCUUUGGGAUGCACGGUAUGUUCUUUUCCUAUCUUGUUUUUAGUUUGUAGGUCAUCUGUUCUCUUUAUGUAGGACUGAUCUUCUCAUGGUGGUCAGAGUUGUUCUUUCUCUGAUCCCUUGAGCUGCAUUUAGUAUAUUCUUUCAGUAUAUUAUUUACAUUAUAUGUGUUAGCCUUCUAUGAUAAAUAUUUUUUUCUGCCAUUUUUUUUGACAAACUGGUAUAUAUAAUGAUAAAAUAUAAUCCUGUCCAUUUGGAAUCAACAAAAAUAUAUUAAUUAAUUUUGAAGCUAAUGAAUUUCCUUAUUCCAGACUUGACAUCAUGAUUUAGACUGAAAUUGAUUGAAUCAGAUAAUAUAAUCUUCAUUGUUGGGGUUCUGAAUUAGAAUCUUACCUUGCAUUUGUUUGUGUUAUUUAGUGAAAUUAUGUUGAUAGAACAAACCAAUUAGCUUUUUAAAUAUACUUUUCCCCCAUGACAUUAGAGCUUCACACCUUGUUACCUGCUUAACAUUGAGUUAUAUCCUAAAGAUGUAUUAGUACAGAAAUUGGGACAAAGUUUCAUAGAUAGGAUUGAGUUGCUCAUAUUGAUAUUGAUUAUAGUAUUUCUUUUUGAAGAAAAAAUAACUUUGAUUUGUGCGACAAUGUUAGCUAAUAGCCAUAUAUCACCCAAAUUGCUUUUAGGGGCUUUAUAUGUUAUGCACAAAUGCAUAAGAUAUGAAUUGUUACACCUUGGAUGUACUAAACCAUUUGUGUUAAUGAAUUGAAACAAAAUCUAAUCAGCUUAAAACUAUUUUGUAGAUUUUGCUAAAAGGAUCAACAAGUGAAGAACUGAAGAAAGUUAAGCGUGUUCUUCAUUUCACUGUUUUUGCAGCUUAUCAUUUGAUCCUUGAAACUUCAUUCUUUGCUGAUCAAAGGUUAUUUGCAACGGGAAAAAAUGCCAUGGAGAAAGGCAACUGUUUGAAAACUGAUCCACAGCUGCUUGUUCCUUGUACUGCUGCUCCGUCCUCCAAAUUCUGUUCUGAUAUUGCACAAAAUAGCGACCCCACACAACAUGCUUUGAACAUUCUUGCUUCUGAUGGACAGUAUGUUAAUCAGGAUGAUUUUGUUAAUCCAGAGAAAUCCGUAUGCAUGCAUGAUUCCAAAAUUGAAACAUCUAGAGAGCACGCGGACAGAAAACUUGAUGACAGCAACAACAUUCAGUCAUAUUCAUCAUUGCCAGUUCCUGACCCCUCGAGAAAUCUUAUUGGCGAUAUGUCGUUAGAUUUUGCCAAAUUGGCAUCAUGUGAUGACUUUGCCGGUUCCACCUCUGGAGCUCCUUCAAACAAUGGGGUUCUGCAGACGUAUGGGGCGGAUGGCAAAGAUUGUCUAGAAACUAUUAGUGAUGGAAUAUCUACAGGGACUAGGACUUCUUUAGAUUCUCAGAACAUAUUGAUUUCGAUGUCUAGCCAACAUAUCAGAAACCAAGCAAUCUGUGAGCAGAGUCAUCUUUCCCGCAUAACUUACUACGGGUAUUUUGAUACAUCACUUGGUCGUUAUUUGCAAGAUAGUUUACUUAAUGAGGUCAUACAUCUUAACUGCUUGUUGAUUUGGCAGAUGCUUAUUUUAUCUUAUGAUGUUUCAAUUGACAAUAUAUUAUUUGCAGAAACACAACUGCUUAUCUUGUGGUGAACCUCCAGAAGCUCACAUGUACUCUUACACUCACCACAAUGGCACUCUAACUGUUCUUGUGAAAAGCCUUCCCUUGGAUGUAACUCUUUCUGGUAAGGAUCAAGGAAGAAUUUGGAUGUGGACUAGGUGUUUGAGAUGCAAUGGUAAGCCCACCCAGAGGGUUAUAAUCUCUUCCUCUGCGCGUAAUCUGUCAUUUGGGAAGUUCUUGGAACUCAGUUUCUCAACACAUUCUGCUGCUAAGAAGCUAUCAACAUGUGGGCAUUUGCUGCAUAGGGACUGCCUACGCUUCUUUGGGUAAGUGCGUUCCAAGAUGCUCUUACCUAAAGGACAAGUCUUUCCUAAUGACAUCACUAAAGUUACUUUUUUCAUGACUUGCAGAAUGGGACCCAAAGUUGCUAUGUUCAGAUACUCAUCUGUUGAAAUAUAUUCUGCCUUUAAGCCACCAUUGACUUUGGAGUUUCAUAACCCAAACAAAAAAGAAUGCCGGGAAGUUGAAUUUAAUAAUGUAUGUCUCUCCAAAAAAAUUUUCUGAAACAUCCUCUUUUUAGCUAAUUACAUAUUUUAAUCCUAAUAUACUUGGUUAUUCAAGGUACUUCGAAAAUGGAGGCUACUCUUAUCUGAAGCCGAAAAUAAAAUACAAAUCUUGAAAUCAGGAGGCUCUGGUCAAGCCUUGGGGGAAAACACCAAAGUUUCAGUACAUGAGGAAUUAUUUUUGGAAGUCAAUAGGAUACUUGCACAAGAAAAAUAUGAAUUUGGGGUAAGCUUGAUAUCAACUUCUAUUUUGUUCUCCUAUUCCUUCCCAGAAGAUUUGGAUCUACUUUUGAUAUGCUAACAUAUCUUGUCAACACGAGGUUUAUCCGAAGACAUUUGACUUCCUUGUAAAAUCUGGGACUUGUGCUCACGAGAUCCUUGGGUUGAACUGGCUACACCAGCUACUUCUUCUUGGAAUUUACAUUUGGGAUGUCCGGUUGCAACAUAUUCUUCAAUACUGUAAAGCUAACGCUGCAUCUCCAGAUAGUACUAUCCAGAUAAAAACACCAGAGAACAAGCCAAAGAAUUCUGAAAUAACUUCUGUUCAUGGGGACACACUAUCUCUUACCAACGUUGGAAUGGAAAGGCAGGAAGCACGUAUCGAUACUUGUCAUUCUUUUGAUAGUUCAUUUGGCGGUAUGAUUUUGGAGAAUGAGCAGCUAACUGAGAAAUCAGUAAUCCAAGAGCCUGGGUCACAUGUUAGUCCAGAUCAUCGUGAAGAUGGUGGAUCAUAUGAAGUCGACAAAUAUGCACAUAUCUCUGACAGUUUUUGUUUAGAAAAGUUAAUUGACUUACCAGUUAAGAAUAAUGAAUUGCCAGAACUAGCCAGAGGUAAUGAAAUGUAUCCUGUUGCCAAGCCAAGCAAGUGUUUUGAUAUAUUCCUUAACCUAUUUGAUUUCUUAAGUAAUGAUGCCAGAAAAUGGGUCUGGGGUAGUUUUAGUCACCUGGAAAAGGAGUACAAGAAAGAGCUUCAGGGUGGUUCUUUGGACAAGUUUCAUCUCAUCAACAAAUACAUCCCCACCUUUUCAUCACUGGUUCAGCUUAAAUCCCAAAUGGACAUGGUACAGUUUAUUGUUGGCCCUGGUGGUAGUAUCUUGUCCAUUGUUGAGGAAGAGGCAUCUAGUAUGAUUGCUUAUGCACUAUUGAUAUCUGAGCAACAAGGAAUAUAUUCGGAAGCUGCAAUUGUAAAGGAUGAAGUUAUUGCUGGUAGAAAAAUUGAUAAAGUAACACCAAUCAACUCGAUCGGAGAUACUCCUGUGCCAUCUGCAAUUUUAUCUCCAAAUGAUUCUUUAGAACAAGAUCAUAACCUAUCAAGAAAUGUGUCAUCGUUAUCAUCCGAGGAAUCAACAUCUGGAUUUUAUGAUUCUUUUCUAUCUGCCUUAAAAGAUCUGCAUCCUGAAUUUUGUUUGAAUAAUGAAAAGCUAACUUUGAAGAGCAAAUACACUGUUCUGUGUAUAUAUGCAAAACAAUUCUACGAUCUUCGGAAGAUUUGUUGUCCAUCAGAGAUUGCCUAUAUUUCAUCUAUAAGCCGUUGUAAAGAAUGGAAUGCACAAGGUGGAAAGAGCAAGGCUUUUUUUUCGAAAUCAAUGGAUGACAGAUUUAUCAUCAAACAAAUUAAGAAGACUGAAUUUGACUCAUUCUUGAAGUUUGGCCUUGAGUACUUCAAGCAUUUUGGUGUAUCUCAGGCCUCAGUUAACCCCACUUGCCUUGCCAAAAUUCUGGGAAUAUAUCAGGUCUGCCAAAAUUUUGAGUACUUCAAACAUUUCUGUUGAAUGUAAUAAAAAACUACUUAUAACUAAUAUUGUAAUUCUCUCUAACAACCAUGUCAGGUUAAGGAAAUCAGGAAUGGCAAGGAGGCAAGGACCAAUUUCAUGGUUAUGGAAAAUCUUUUGUUUGGACGUAAUAUAAUACGGAGAUAUGAUCUGAAGGGUGCUCUUUUCUCACGAUAUGUUCUUGACUCAAAAAAUCCUGAGAAUGUGCUAUUGGAUCAAAAUUUCAUUGAAGAUAUGCGUGCUAUGCCUAUCUACAUUGAAGGCAAAACCAAAAACCUCUUGGAGCGUGCUAUUUGGAAUGACACGGCGUUUCUAAGUGUAUGUGUACCUAUUGCCAGAAACGGAUUUCCGCUAGUGUAUAUGUAUUAUUUUUCUUCAUAAGAGUAUAUUCAGGAUGCUAGCUCUUCUUUUUUUGUCCUUUUGCGGCGACAUGAUGAUAGCUCUAAAGUUCACAAUUUGCAUUUCUUUUAUUUGCAGCGCAUGAAUGUCAUGGAUUACUCCUUGUUUGUUGGAGUGGACAAACAGAAGAAGGAACUUGUGUUUGGAAUUAUAGAUUAUUUGAGGCAAUACACCUGGGACAAACAAUUGGAGUCUUGGGUGAAGACAUCACUUUUUGUUCCCAAGAACCUAUCUCCGACUGUAAUUUCCCCGAAGGAGUACAAGAUAAGAUUCAGGGCAUUCAUGUCUCAGUAUUUCCUAUCAGUUCCAGAUGCUUGAGUUGAUGAGUUCUGAGGCGUUGAACACACUCUGGCUUUUGGUGGCUGAACUUAUGUUGAGUAUGGUUUGGUUAAAUGCCUGUUUGGCAUACAGUAAAUCAUCUCAUGAGUUCAACUUUAAGUUUCAUUUUAUUCAUUUUUUCAAGUGUGGGUCUAUCACCAUCCAUACUGCUUCGCAGCUGCUGUACAUAGCAUUUAGGAUAUAGGUUCCCUGGGGGACCACAAAUUUUAAGCAAGGGAGCGGUGACUGGACCUACAUAUAACCAACAUGUUCCUUUUUUGAUGAGCAUUAAGGUGGAGUUCACCUUUUGGACAACUAGCUUGGAGUGUUAUAGAGAAUAUGGCAUUCAUGUAUUCAUUUGUGUUAUUAGGAGUAGGUUUCUGGAAUCAAAUACAUAUCUAAAUAUGUGUCAAUUAUAGCUUGUUGGUUAAGCAUCCAUAGUGGUAUGACGUGUUAUUGUCGUCCUAAAUUCCUAAUGCUAUUUAAAUCAGUCAAUGUCUCUUAUAAACUGUUCACUUAUUUAUAAGUUACCUCCUAAAAGAUCUGUGACAGGUGAUCAAUCGAAAAAAAUAUUUCCAUGAUUUGUUAGGAUUUAGAAAAAUGAGUUGUGAUUAAUCUGCAUAUAUCCGGACAAUUGUAUUUUGUUGAUUUAGAUAUAUGGACAGAAGUAUAUUUCUCCUGCACCUGUGUAAACUUUGGGGUCAACAUCCAAUCCUACACUUGUACCUUUGCAUUCUUUAGCUGUUUACACAGGUCUCCUCCCCAAAGACCACCACGGGACUUGAGCUGCCUUCUGGUGGUCAUGUAAGCUGUCGAUACUGCACACCAAGUGGUAAGCUGUCUAGCGCUUCUGUAUUCAUUGAGAUGGAGAUGUCGUAUAUGGUGAAUCCACAAACUGGGUAUGUUAACAAGCUUAAGGAACGGGCAAAGAUUUCUACACCAAGAUUCUCAUAUUUACCCCAGAGCGGGAUUUUACAUGGAUGAGGCUCAUUGCUGAUAAGUGCGGUGCGGUGCUGUGUUGUGCUCAUGUGCGACCCGGCGCACAUCAGCAGGCUUGUCACCACGAUGGUAAAUAACUACCAGCAUGGAACAUUUAUUUAUCUUGUAUGUGUAAUGUAGCAGAAUCUCUUAUUAAUACAAUCAAAAUUAGUUGCUAGAAUUGUUUUGCUUCUAGUUGCCCUGGAAACUCAUUGCAAAAGAGCUUCAAUCUUUUUGCCUUCUUAGUCACUUGGCCAUCUAGUAAGGCAUGUCUGUUUAAAUCAUUGAAUGUCACAAUGCAACCUUUCCUUGUUUCAGGUUUUUAGGGUGACAAAUAUGUAUAUGUUUUUGUGUACGUUGAUUAGGUUGAUACUAUAGUUCUGAUGAAACUAUUUUGCAGGUAUCAUAUUCAAACUGAGUUUGAACUUAGUUUAUCAAAGAUCAUUCUGAUUUUCAGAAUAACAAAGGUAACAUUUUGAGGUAUGUUUACAUGAGCAUGAUAUAACUACAAAAUUAUAUUUUCCACUAGUCCGGACAGGCUGAUUCUUAAGUUGGAUCAUUUCCAUAGCAAAAUUAUUGGGCUAUUUAUGGUUUUUUCCUCUGGUGAUGGAAAUCAUUCUGAUGGACUAAGUAAUCAGCAUUUCUUGUUGUUAUCAACUGCAGUGUCUUGUUAAUUUUUACACCUUUUAGAAACUGCACUCUCCAAGGGGCAUAUACACAAGAUAAUAUCACAAGAUAACUAUUUCUUAAGCAGAUUUAUUGGUACCAUUUUCAUAUGGCUUGUUGAGAAUUGAGAUAGUUUCCGAACUUUGAGAAAGUUGACUGUGAAUACCAUAACGAUACAUUUAUAAAUAGAUAGAGUAACUUUUGUUACAGUUGUCGUAAAUCUCUUUGUUGCAUUUUUCAUGUUUUACAUGCUAUCUCGCUUGGGAAUGCAAGCAAGCCAGCCUGCAAGAGGGUUCAACGCUGGCUUGCUUGCAUAUUCUUAUGCUUCGUUACCCUCUAGAAUUGUUUUAUUUCCCUAAUAUGGGCUCCCCAGCUAAUGAAAAGAAACUCCAGAAUAAUAUGGGCUCCCCAAAUAAUGAAAAGAAACUCCAGAAAGGUCUUCUAUGUUGCUGGUGCUGCUUAAUUUGGCAAGUUCAAUGUUCUUAACGUCCAUAUUAUAAUGACAAUAUUGUUCCAUGCUCCACUGAUACAAUUUUCUUAUUCCUACAAGGUAGUCAUACUUUGGUUCCUGAGCAUUUGCUGUCUAUUGAUGGUUUGAAUCUUGUUGCUUUUGCAGGAAUGCCGUAGUCUCUUUAACCACUGCGAUGUGGUUACAUCAACUAACAAGAAUCUAACAGGUCCUAGAGGUGGUACAAUAUUUUUCAGGAGAGGAAAAAAUUAAGGAAGAGGACUGUUCUUUUUUCUCAAGGGGAUGAAAAUGAAUUGUGACUUUCAGGACAGGAUAAAUUUUGUUGUUUUCCAUUCAAAACAACUAUGCCAGGACGGGAGGUCCCCAUGGUAUAUAUUGCUUCCUUGGUGAUAACUCUGAAGCAAGUUGCAACACCUGAAUAUAAAGCAUAGAUUCAACAAGUUAAGAAAAAUGCAAAAGUUUUGGCAACAGCUUUGCUUAGAAGAAAAUGCAGAAUUGUUACUAUUUUAGAUGAUGGAAAAUGAUUAGUACAUGCCGACUGCUGGGCGAUGGCACAGAUAACCACUACUUUGGGAUUUAAGAACUUCAGGCCUAACCGGUAUAAUUGUGCCUACCAUUUUCUUAAUUAAUUUAUUUUUUAAUCCGUGAGCACGGUUGUAUAUUCAUUUCAUUAGGCCUCCCUAGAAACUGAAAUGUCAUUGCAUGAUAAACAUAUACUCCUUCCGGUUUCAUAAUUUUUGAUUUGUUUGACAAUGACACGGUCUGUGUUUUUCUAUUAUAAAUGUAAUGUAUUCCUUUCUUCCAAAAAAGUCUUAUUUCUUUUUUCACCAGGAUCAAGGUGUAAACUCAUUCAUCGUGUAACACAACCAAUGAACAUGCAACCAAUAAGUAUUAAAAUGACUUAUUGGAUUCCAAUAAAAAAUUUAAUAUAGCACAUAUUGACUCCAAAUAGGACUUAGACUUUUAGAAAAACCAAAAAAUAAAAUAGGACUUAGAAUUUUGGAAGGAGGGAGUAUACAAUAAGGCUCCCAUCGGAUGGCCUAAUCAGUAAAAGAAAAAGCCAGAUUUUGAAUUUUCAAACUUAAUUUUGAGAUUGAUUUUGAGAUAUUUUCAACGUAGUUUCUUUUACAACAUUGGCUUUUAAGUCACCAAGAACACAUUUAUAAAAAUUUCAUCUAUAAAUUUAUUUUUAUUUCCUAAUAAGCCGUUUUGACUUAUUAGGAAAUAAGCCAAACGAUGGGGACCUAAAUAAAUACAUGUUUACUUUUAUUAUAGAGCUUUGAAAGAUAGAUCCAUAUAUGUUAUUCUAGUUCUUUUAAACUAAAUACGUUUAAAGUUAUUGAUAGUCAAAGUUAUAAAAGAUUGACUGCAAUCUUUGUCCAAAACGUUAUUUCCUCCGUUUCAUAAUAUAAGACAUUCUAGCAUUGUCUACAUUCAUAUAGAUGUUAACGAAUCUAGACAUAUAUACGAAUCUAGACAUGUAUAUAUGUCUAGAUUCAUUAACAUCUAUAUGAAUAUGUGAGAUGCUAGAAUGACUUACAAUGUGAAACAGAGAGAGUAACUAUUAUGGAACCAGAGGGAGUAUGCUUACUAAACUUGAAACAUUAGUGCCUGUUAUUUUCUUGAGUUGCUUAAAGUCUUGUCAGUGGCACUAUUCCUCUUGGACCCAUUUGUUUCUAUAGAUUACAUGAUGUGUACAUGCAUAUAGUUUAUAAGUAGUAUGUAAACUAGAUGGAUGGGCGCGCCCUGGCGCGCCGCCUGUGGAUAGUUGGAUUGCCGGGUGUAAACGUUAAUGUCAUAGCAUUAUCAGUUCAGUUAAUGGAGUGGAUAUGGUGCAAAGAAACUGACUUAGACUGUAAGAGUAUAAGUGUCAUAUUACUAAGGUUUAUGAAGGUAAUAAAAUGAUCAGCAACAUAAUAUAACAUAGCAAGUUAUACAGAAGGUGGUGCAUCGUUCAUUGGGUAUAUGAGUAAACAAAAUCGUCAAUGACAGUGAUAAGGUUGUUCUUAACAACUACACUACAACAGUAGGUGAAGAUGAUGUCUUUAACAUAACAUUUACAGAGAAACAAGCAGCAUAUAGCAGGGAUAUAAAGGUUAUAAAUACUUAGCAUAGUGGGGUUGUCUUACGGCAGCUAGUAGGUGUUGAUAAAGUAUUUUCAUGAUAGUACAAGGAUGGUUCUUCUGCAGCGCAUGAUCAAUGCAUUCACGUUAUAUGUAUUGUUGCUUGUAGCUGAUUCGUUUCGUAGAAGUGGAAAAUGCAGAUUAUUCCCACUUGUAUUUUAUUGGCCGUUGCAAACUCUGACCAUCCUGCUUUUAGAUUGUACCGAUCAUCUGUUGACUUGUGAAGAACCAUGGUGGUUGAUGUGUUUCCUGCAGUAUGCACUUGAUCCUUUGUUGUCUUGUGUUGGGUGAGUGGCUGAAUGUAUUUUUCUGAGAAUUCUUUUGUGAAGUACUGUUAUUAAAAGUGGAUGUUAGGCAUUUAUAUUGCAUAAGAGUGGAAUGGUAGUGAGCGAAAGAUCUCUCCACUCUUGUCUUACUUCAUGAAUGUCUGGUUGAUAGUAACAAGUAGAAUUAGAAUUUGCUUGAGUGAUGCGGGAAUGUCGCAAUAUCUUUCACGUAGUUCUUUAGUUCGCUUGAUAGCUUUAUACUUUUGUUGUAGUAGCACAUAUCUUUGACAGUCCUUUUUGGUUGGCUGUGUAAAACAAAAGUAGAAAUAAUAGAAGUAGAUAAGUAUUUCAGUUAGUAUGGGAAAAAAUAUUGAUGAAUUGCAUUGCAAUUAGUAUGUAAAGUAUUUGGACCUGUAGAAGAUGAUCCAGUAUGUUUGUUGAGGCUGAGUUGGAUGUGGUGGUUUGUGUGCUGUUUAGUCUUGCUAGCUCUAUCUGCUUUUUCUACGUUUGACCAAAGCUUCGUCUGAAGUGCGAACGGAGCAAGAAAGACCUGAAAAAAAAGUUAAGGCAAUGUAUGAACGAAUUUGAAUGGCAAUCUGUAAAAAAAAGAGAAAGAAGUGGACACGUGCAAUUGGACCAAAUAACAGAAACAAUCAACCAUAGCCGAAAACGUGGUCAGAACAUAAAGGAAAGCACUAAACACUCGAAAUGGCAGGAGGAACAAACACGGGCGGUGACACAGAAGAAGAGUAGGAUGAUGAUUACCAACAGCAGAUGUCCUAUGAAAGAACGAAGCUAUAAAAAAAACAAAACAAGGAAACAUAUCAUUGGAACGAAUAUAAAUAUAAAACGGGGUAAAAAUUAUAGAACAACAAAAAAAAAGAGAUAGGAGAAUGUGCAUUUUUUUAUUCCAAAAGAACCAAAUAGAUAAAUCAAAUGACACAAGCACGAUGGAAACAUAUAAUCAAUGAGAAACAAAUAUCCCCCGACGAACAAAAACAAAUCAAAGCAAAACGAUAAGAAAUGGUAAAUAUAACAAAGAAAAAAAGGCAAUUACCAAGCAAGAACGAAGGUUCACAUGAUGUGAUGAAGAUGGCGUACGACGAAUCACUGCCUUGUGAUGAGCUCUAGCAGCCGAUGCAGAUGGCAUGAACCAAUGAAACCAGCAACAGCACCAAAAACCUGACAAAAAAACAUGAAAAAGGACCAUGACAAAACAUGAACCUGAACUAAACUAAAUAAAAUGAAGGGGACAAAAAAAAAGAAAAGGAAUGGGAAAGACCAUUAAGAGAACAACAACAACAUUGCAACUAGGGUAACUAUCACGAGAAGCCAUUCAGACAUACUUAUAAAAUGAGAGAAGGAGCAGGAAGAACGAGAACGUGUACAGGCAUGCAGCAAAGAAAGACAUGCACAGUGACACCUAAUCAACUAACAGUAAUAGAACUCGCCAGCACACCCACGCAAAACAGAGAAGGGAUCGCAUGAUUGACACGCAAAGAGAUGGAUCAGCACAAACAAGACACUAUAAUAAUCAAUUUUAGCCUCUAUACCCCAACAUAUCUGUGUAUUCCAAAAAAAACUCACAGAAAACAAAAUUUUAUCUUCUUCACAUUAUAUAAUCAAGAAAGACAAGUACUAAACGAAAAAACAACAAGACACAGACAGAAAGCACAAAGGAGCCAUAGUGAAAUAGAAGGAAAACUGAAGGCUUAACAAGAGAGAGAACAGAGGGAGUUAACCGGAAGAAGCCGUUUACAAUAACCAGCACGCGUGUGUAACACACGGCGCUAAUCCAGGAGAUUAACCGGACAGCCGUGAUUAGCCAGUUAUAACCGCGGGCACGAGGAGGCUUCAACGCAAACCAGCGACGUGUAAGGCAGCGAAAUAGCCAGAAAACAAUUCCAAAAAAAUGAGAAAACCGGGAUAGUUAGGAGAAUUAUCAUUAAUCAUAGCUGAAAUAACUCUGUUUAACAAUAAGAAGAAGAAAGCAUUUCUUGGUACCUCAAGGCCAAAAGCAACAUUUUAUUCUUACAUCAGCACUAACAAACGAAAACAUCCACUUGUGUAAGAUGAAUAAAUCAUUUUUCCCCAACUAAGGUAAAAAGCACAGAAAGAUAUGCAUGGUUAACAUACUAAUAGAGUGACGCAUCAAUGCACAGUGCUCAAUCAAGUCGAAAAAUUUCAGAAAGGUAGCACAAGUGCUAGUGCAGGAAUCACACUAAAAGCAACUGAAUCACAAAGAACAAACAUCCCAAUAGAAGACAGAAGCUGACACAUGUAAAUCCAGGGCGAAGAACAGACGCGUAAAUGAAAAGCACCACCCGAAUCUCUACUUGUUUUGUUGGUCACUGCUACCUGAGGAGAAAAAAAAGGCAUUAGCCCGCGAAGGCGAUGUGUUCGGGCAGCGCAAUGCCCAAGCCGCACGGCGACACAGCACUAGCUGCUGCAGCAAAGCAAAACCACACCCACGACGCCGCGGCGGCAGCGGCGGCGGCGGUGGCGGAAACCAAAUGACCGGAAGAAAAAAAACCCAAAUGGCUCGCCCGCGAUCGCCGGGGCGGCUGCUCUCAACCUCGACGGCAAAAUAAGAGCCCCCAUCUUACACAAGCCUCUCAGUUGAGCCCCAGAAAUCAUCUGACAUUCAGCCACAUUAUUAAAUACCCCCUGAAUUCUUAUAGUUUCCCCAUGUUCUUCAUACUCUAACCAUUUCUGCAACCAAUCAAUUUUCAUGACCCCCAGCCCUUCCAACCAAUCCAUGCCUAAUAUGGCAUCAUACCCAUUUAGAGGUAUUAGCUUAAAAUUGGAUCGAUAGCAUCUACCUUGAAGCCACCAACACAGUCAGGAAGUUGUUUAUCAGCAACCCUGACCUUAACUGGCGGAGUUGUGGACACCACUCCUGGAAAAUGGUGAAUCAUCUGUUCAUCGACAAAUGAGUGGGUACUCCCAGAGUUAAUGAGCAUAAGAAGUUCAGUGCCUUGUAUUAAUCCCUUAACUCGAAGAGAAUGGGCUGAAUCAGUGCCAUUCCAAGCAUGAACUGAGAUGGUCAUGAGGUUGUUCUCCUCUGGGUUAGACUCAAGGAUUGUCUCCAAACUGUCUGUUUCUUCCUCAAGUUGAAAUGCCUCUAACUCCACCACAUGCAACUGGACGGUCUGAGCACACUUAUGGUCCUUACUCCAACGUUCACCAUGGGUAAAGCAUAACCCCUUAGAACGUCUAUAAGACCUUAAUUGAGAAACCUUGUCAUCCUUGGGAGUAGUUCUGGCAGACUCCAAGAUUCUCUUUUCCUCUCCAGGCGUUGCCACAGGACUCUUCUGACAUACAGUGCCCUGAACUGGUCUAGUGAAAGCCUUGGUGAAGCUAGUACCCUCAGCCUUCCUGAAAGAAAUUUUCUUAUUCCCAUCCAAGAUUUCCUCCUGAAGCAUAGCCACUGAGCAAGCAGCAUCCAGAUCCACUGGUUUCUGAAUCAUGACCACUCCUCUAAUCUCAUCUUUCAAUCCAUCCACAAACUUGGUUAAAAAAUAAGGAGGGGUGAGAGCAUUAUCAUAAGAAAGCAGGUGGUGCAUUAAGUUGUCAAACCUUUCAACAUACUCAGCUACACUGCCAGUCUGUCCCACAUGAAUCCAUUGCCUUAUCAGGGUUGCCUGUCUAUCUCUGGUGAACUUAUGACAGACCAUGUCACACAGCUCCAUCCACGAAAUGCCCACCAUCUGGUGCCGCACCGAUUGCAACCAAAAUGAAGCAUUACCAGUGAAAUUCAGCAAAGCCACCUUAACCCAAUUGGCUGGAUGCACACCAUACACAUCAAAGUAAAUUUCACAAUUAUCUCGCCAUAACUGGGUAUUCUCACCAUCAAAUUGGGGACAAGACAUGGGGGGGACAUUACCACCGUUGCUAGCCAUACCAUAGUAUCCAUAUGCUGAUGACUAGAAUUUUCAAGAGUGAAAGGGCUUGCAGAAGUGAACUGAGGAAGGCGAUUUCCCUGUGGAGUAAACAGGAAAGGAUUUGGGGAAUUACCAUUGAGAUCAUCUUCAUUCAACAUCUGACUGGGUCCUUGGCUGCCUUCUGCCUUGAACAACACCUUCUGUUGAACAUCCCGCUGGCACUUCUCCAACCCUGCCUGGAUCGAGUUCACUCUCUUUGCCAAAUCGCUAACAGAUCCCCCCAACUCGCUCACCUUCUAUUCCACCAUGGGUAUGCGCGAUUCCACCACCGCCUUCAACGACUGCAGCUCCGCUAGAUUCAACGCAUCGGACUCCUCCCGUCUCCUCCCUCUUCUUCUCUGCAUCCUCCAUCAUCUUCAACAAGAGAUCGAGCUUCCCUUCUUGAGCCAUGAUUUGAGCUGCUUGUUUCGUGAUAUACCUAGGUCGCUCCAGGAUGAAUUUUUCCCGGUUUCACCUCGAAUCCAGCCAACCAGAUCAAGGGAGCCCCAAAAGCUUUUGCGGAAUCACACUGAUUAACAGCGAAUUCCCACCUAUCUAAUGGAAUUUUCACGGGCGGACCAAGGGAAUCAAUGAAACCAGGAAAGGAAUCGAGGGCUCUGAUACCAAUUGUUAGCUACCUAACAAGAAAACUGAACAAGAACUCAAGAACAGAUAGAUCAACGGGGAUUCCAACGAAUUUCCGCCGUUUCCGCCGCCACCAAUCGCCGCGGAUUUCUUUCUUAUCAUCGAUAGCCAAAAACAGAGUUUUCUUCCGGUCUCACCUCACCAACCCUCCCAUUACAGGCCAAAACAUAGGCUACACAAUAACACACGCUUACAGAGCCCAUUCCGGCCCAGACAAACGAACAUUAGCCUCGCGAAGUUUUCUUUCCCUCCCGCCAUCAGCUUCCUUCUGCAUACUACUUCCAACAUCCUGGCUAUCAGCAGCAGGCGCCUUAACAGUUCACCGCGGGAGGACGCCACCGCUGGGUCACCUUCUCCGUUGCCACCGCUGUACAGACCUCUCCAAGCUGCGGUCAAGGCUCGGUGAGCAUCCUGGACACCCAAGAACCCCAUGCAUACACUCCAUUCACUUAGAAACUGCCUCCAACUCGACAUGCACGCACAUCCGAGAUCUUCCACCGCUCGGACCCACCGGCGGCGCUCCUCCGAUGUCCACUAACCGAGGAAAGUAGAGGAAUGGAAUCGCAAUAUCAUGCUCUUCAUUUCGUCUUUUGGUCGCGCCCCCAAACGAGUCACCAUUUGUUGCCGGCGCCGGCGAGCAGAGGUGCCGCCAUGGCUGCUCUGCUGCUAGAUCGAUGGGAGAAGAAAUCAGGACUUCACUUUGUAAAUUUAACAAACUGUAGAGUCUUUUCCUCAAAAGCACAAGACACAUAGUACUGUUGCAGGACCUAUUCGUAAUUAUUAAAAACAGGAAGGACUCUUAAUGAAAACAGCUAUUCAACAAGUGCUGAAUUGUUCAAAUCUACUUUAAACUUCAAAAAUGCAUAACUAAUUCAUCUUAACUCCAAUUUAGGUGAAACCAAUUUCUGUAGAUUCACGAAAAUAUGAACUUAAAAGUUAUGACAUAAAAAGUGGUACUCACAGUAUGAAAAUUUAUCACUAAAACUCAUCUAAUUUAAGUCACACAUAAAGCAUGCACAAACUUAUAAAAUGCAUAUAAAAUUAAUCUUAGCUCAAAUUGGUGCAAACUUAAUUUCUAUAGAUCCACCAACAUAUUAUCUAAAAACAAAGUAAAAUAAAAUAUGUACAUAUUUUACAUCAAAUGCCUUAAAACUAAUAUCUUUAAAAUGACUAGAUUUAGAUAAGCUGAACUUUAGAAAUUCAUAUAGAAUUCAUCUUAACUCCUUUUUGGGUGAACUCAGAUCCUAUAGAAUCAUCAAAACAUAUACUUCCAGGUUGUAAAAUAAAAAUAUAUUCUUACUCUAUAACAAUAGCCCUUAAAUAUUUAUAUAAGGAAUAAACAACCUAGUGUACAUUUCAAUUUGUAAAAUUUGUAGAAAAUUCAUCUUUAAUCCAAAUGAAGUGAACCAAAUUUUUAUAGAACUGGCAAGUAAUGAGCUUCAACAUAGUAAAAUAAAAUAUGGCAGCUUCUAUACAGAUUAUAGCUCUAAACCUUAAUAGGUAACCUAAGAGCUAAUCACAUAGUAAUGGUUAGGCAUUAUAUAGGUGUAGUGGUAUUUAAAUGCACUCUAACUAAAUUCAACUAAAACUUAAUAGACCAGAUAAACCAUAGUUCCAUUCCUAUGCAUCAAAACUUAUCACACUUAGCUCAUACAUAAACUACUUCUAGAUUAGCAUAGUGAAUAAUUAACAUAGAUCAUGCCCCUAUUUAUAAAACGUGUAGUAAAAUACUAAAAACUCUAAAAUUAUGGACCAAAGUUAAAUUAGUUAACUCAAUUACUCAUUUUGUACAUCACUGGCAAGAUGGAACAAGUUAUGGACCUAGAACCUCUAUAUCAUACACUAUAGGGACCAUAUGCCUACAACCCGUUACAACUUGUAAAAUACAUUAGAAAUUCAUAGAAACUCUAAAAAUUGUGAAACCAAAUGUGUUAGUCUUAGAGAACUCAUAUAUUCACCCCAGCAAACUCAAAUAUAAUAAAUAUCACCUUACAAAAGCAUUUCAUAGCAGCACCUAAGCAAAUACUAUACUAUACCGAUAAAACUUCUAAAAUCCAUAACUCUCAAAUGGAAUGAGAUAAAAUGGAAAUUCUUUCACCUAAAUUCAGUUUAAACCAGCACCUACCCACUGUGCACAGAUCAUGCAUUUUAGAGCAUUUUGGAUUUUCCGCAUAUUUCGGUGUUUAAUCGCAUAACAUGUAAUUUAUAUAGAUUGUCGCAAUAACGGUGAAGAAGUGAAUUAGGCCCUGACUUUUACCAUUAACAAGGCAAGUCCCACCUCCCUCUCUUUGAAUACAUUGCUCCUAUGUUUUGGAGGUUAUUGAAAAUGUUUGCAAAUCCUGCAUGUCGAUUGUACAUUAAUACGCUAAAACCUUGUAAAACUUGUUAGAAUAACACCUAUUGAUUGCAUUAUCACUUGAACUCCACAUAUAUCCAUAACCUACAUUCUUAGCCCUAGAAACAACAAGACUUUAUCUUUAUAUAUAUGAGUUAUAAUGACACUAUGAUACUACGAUGCUUAGCCAUGCUUAGUAUGAUUUUACUUGUCAUUUGGGAUCAUAUUAACAUGAAAAAUGAUUUUAUCUAAUUUCUGGACAAAAAUGAAUAAAUGGAGAAUUUGAGAAACAAAAUGAUGAAAAACCAUGAAUUUUAAGUUUGGGCCUCAAGUGGUACACAUGUGUUGAUUAGUUGUAUACCGAUAGGGGGAGAGUGUGCCCAAGCUACUUAAGGACUUCACUCAAUGUCUGUUCAUUAUGUAUAUAGUACAACCACAUGUGCUAGUUAUGGGAUAGUCCUGUAGAUGGCCAAAAGGCCCGAGGCCCGACGGCCCGGCCCAUGGCACGGCAUUUUGGCCCGGCCCAAGCACGGCACGGCCCGAUGGAGGUCGGGCCCGUGCUGGCCCGGUCCGACCACCGGGCCGUGCCUGGGCCCCUCCACCGGCAUGUUGGGUCGGCCCGGCACGAUGUGCCGGCAGCUAGGCCCGAUACACAAAAAAAUAAGGGAGUAAAAAUAGACAUAUUAUAUGCCAUAGAUGAAAGAAUAGGGAUCUAAAAUAGACUUUUUUUAUCUACAUAUGUCAGCCAAAGAGGAGGGAUGGAAAAUAGACUUAUUUUAGCUAUACAUAUGUCAGCCCAAAGAGGAGGGACGGAAAAUAGACUUAUUUUAGCUAUACAUAUGAAAUAGCCCAAAGAGAAGGGAUGAAAAUAGACUUAUUUUAAAAAAGGCCCGAUGGGCCACCCAUGCCUUCGGGCCGGCACGGCACGACCCAACAGCUGGUGGGCCGUGCCUGGGCGGGUGGUGCAGCCCAUGGGCCGGCACGACCCGGCACGAAGUGCCUAUCAGGCCGUGCCGGCCGGAUGGCUGCUGGGCCAUGCCUAGCCAUGGCUGGGCCGGGCUGUGUCGGGCGGGCCCUUUGGCCAUCUAUAGAUAGUCCUAGCUUAGUAAUCUAUUUAUGAUUUAGCCUUACAUUCUAGUAGGCUGGUGUGUAUGAGUUAGUGGUUAGCUCAGAGGAGCUUCCUGUUACAGCUGAGGCAGUAGUCUAGGUGACUAAGCGUGUCCAAUACAACGGUAUUGUGCCACGUGGUGGGUUUACUCGAGGGUAGUUCGUCACCACGGCGUUAAGUUUAAGGCGUGGGCCCGCCACUUAAUGGUUCUAGGUCAUAUUUCCAGUAUGCCUAGGAUGGAGGAACGCGUAUACCCUUGAAUUUUGUUUUUGAUCUUGUUCAUACCCAUUCCGUUAGUUGACUGUUUAAUUCCCUUGAAAAGGACCAUUUUGUCCUUAGACAUGAAGGAAACAUGAAAAUUGUAAACUACUCAUUCCUUCUCAAAUUGAUCAUCAUACAAUAGAAUUCAAAAUUUCUCAAAUUGAUCAUCCUAUAAACACAUGGACACGAAUUUCAUCAAAAUACAAUUAAUGCAGCAUGAGAGAAAUGUGUGCAUGCUAAGGUGUAAUUGGGAUGAUGUUUUAAUCGAUACAUGCAUUGCGGGAGAAUGUGUGCAUGGUGUCUUGAUUGAUAUGGUUUAAAUUAUUCUUGGUCUUAGUGCAUAAACUUAUAUGAUGAUCAAUAUGGGAAAGAGGGAGUAUAAUUUUGUUACAUAAGACUACUAUAUUCAUGAUUUUUUGUUGUACAAGGUAUUAUUCAUGGCAAAGUUUAUUUUUACAUAAUGACGUAAAAAUUAAUAUUUAUUUACUUAUUAAAACAGUAUAUGUAGCAUUUUUAUGGUAGUUCAAUAUUUUCUUUUCCCAGUUGUAUAUAUUAUAUAGAAAUGCUUUCCAAAGCUAUGUUUAUCGUUUAUAAAAUGCUGCACGUACUUUUUUAAUAUAUAUUAAAAUUUUUAUGUACAACAAACUUAUGAAUAUUAUGGUCACAAAACAAAUUUCUAUACUUACAUCAAUAUAGUCCAUAAAUUUCUACAUAUUCCACAUAUAUUGAAGGGUAAAACUGACUUUUCUACAUGUAUUAAACGGGAAAUUUAACUAUUUGUCACAUUUAGGUUUUUCAAUUAUCCAAAUACCCUUCUUAUAUUUGCUCAUAUUUUUUGCCCAUCUUAGAUGGUGGCUUCUUAACUAUUUGCCACUUUGCCUAUGUGGUAUGCCAAAGUGGCAACACAAGAGAAAAAACAGUGUGGGACCCGCUUGUCAUUCUCUCCCCUAGCUGUCCAGCCGGCGACGCCAGCGAAGAGGCCAAGGCGGCGGCCGGAGGAAAGUUUGACGGCCGCGGCAGCACUCUCCUCGGUGCACAGAGUGGGUCCUCGUCUUCCUGCAAGUUCAAAGAAAACGAAACCCCUUCGUUCGGGAGCGCGUUUUGAUGCAUUCAUCCAGUGGUGUUCACCAUCGGAGGUCGCCGUUGUCAUUUCUCUCUCUAUCAGGACCAUGUUGUUGGUCGCGUUUCUGCGGUUCUGAUUUUCUUUAUUGCCAACCUCCAUCAUCAAUGGAUGAGUCUAAUCGUGGGGCACAUCCUACCAUAGUCCUUAUUACCGUUUGAUCAUCAGAGCAUCCACACCCAUGUUGAGUAUUACGAGAACAUGAGUAUACUAUAUAUGCAAUAGUGGUUUUUAUUCAUCCUAAUUAUCAUUAAAAUUUCUAAUCAAUACUUAGCCUAAGAAAUAAUUUAUCUGUAGCGAAGCAUGUGUAUUUCGCUAGUACAGUCAAAAUAACAUAUAUUUUGGGACCGAGACGAUGUUUUUAAUUUUUUUUUAAAAGAAGUUCAAACAAUUUGCUAACAAUCAGCCAAAAAAAAAUAUCCGCCGACCUGGCCCAAUCAACGCCUCCCCUCAUCCACACCAACCAUCUGCGCUGCGCUCCGCCUCCACCGCCGUCCUUCUCCUCUCUCCCCCAAUCACCGCCCACGCCACCCACCACCAUGGCCUCCUCCGCCUCCGUUUCUCCCGCCGCCGCCUCCCACCACCGCCUCCUCCUCCCCUGCUCCCCGCGCCGCCUCCCCCGCCCCCGCCCCCGCCCUAGCCCGCGCCUCCUCCGCUCCGCCCGCCCCCGCCUCGUCGCCUGCCACGCCGACACCCUCCUCCCCUCCUCGUCCCCCGCCGCCGCCGCCGCCGCGUGCGCCUCCACCGCCUCCGCCAACGGGUUCUCCGACUGGCUGCGGGAGCACGGGCUGCCGCCGGGGAAGGUGGCCAUCCUCGACCGACCCGUCCCCUGCUUCCGGGAGGGCAAGGACCUGCCGCUGCACUACGUCGCCGCGGGGCAGGAUCUCGAGGUGCGUUAGCAAGCGGGGAUUUCGGGGUUGAUUCCGGUGGUAAAUGGUGUGAGAUCUUUGACUGUGGUGGGCUGUUGCAGGCUGGGGAUGUGGCGUUCGAGGUGCCCAUGUCGCUCGUCGUCACGCUGGAGAGGGUGCUCGGAGACGAGUCCGUCGGUGAGUGCUCUUGUGAUCUAUUCUAGUGUUGAAUUCUGUAGUUUGGUUGCUUUGGGGUUGAGAGGAAAUGGCGAUUUUUUUGUUUCCUGGAUGCACAUUUCACAGUAUAUGACCUGAAUUUAGCACUGCAAUAGUCCUCCUGUUGGGGGCAUUUUGUGUAAAUGGCAGAAUCUGGUUUUAAUUUAUCUGAUGUCCACCUUAUAAGUACACCGAAAUCAGUAAAGUAUAGCUUCACUUCAAGGAAUUCAUAAUUGUUAGUAAGAAGUAAGAUAUAGGUUGAAUUAGUUGACUUUGUUAAGUAAUCUUCUAUCUGUUCACUUCAAUUUAUUUCAAAUUUUCAAUACCAUGUAGGGCACUGGAUUUGAUAUUGUUACCAUCAAUAUUAAUAUGUGUGUGUUUUGAGGAAUGCUUUUUGAAUGUUUUUAAUCCGUGUUCAACUGGUUCAAGAGUCUGAAUCUGCCGGUUUGAUAUGCAACUUUAGCUAAUCAUAUCUUUCUUGCGUAUCUUCAGGAUAUAAUCAAGUAUUAUCAAUCUCUCUUUGUGUGAAAUGUUGUGCAUUGUAAUUAAACAAUGGGUUUAUAGCAAUUUCAUCUUUCAACCUUAGGUGCUGAUUCGAAUUUUCUCUCUUUUUAAGCAGUCUCUUCACGAGAUUGCAUUUUCUUUACUAUUGCAUUUGUCAUAAAAGGUAAGGUCACAAUUUUUAAUAAAUUAAUCAUCAAACAAUGUUAGCAUGAGAGUAAUAUAAGAAAGUAGCCCUAUGUUUACAACUUUGUUAAAAAUAGUUUAAUGUGAAAUUGUGGAUAUGUUUACAUUGGCAUGAUAUUUCUGUUAGAUAGGUCUUCCAUGCAUUAUUUCUUCAGUCCUUGUAUAUUUGUUUGCUAAUACCUGAUCUGUGAAACUUAUUUGUGGUUUAUGUCUGUCCACUUGCGCUAACACCAAAAGAAGAAUAUGGAAAUUGAUAUGUCCUUUUCAUGUAUGGUAUUUGUUUUCAUUUUUGUACUAUGGUAACCAGCUGAUAUUUUGAACCAUACAGCUGAAUUGCUAACAACAAACAAAUUAUCUGAGCUGGCAUGCUUGGCUUUGUAUCUCAUGUAUGAGAAAAAGCAAGGACAAGAUUCAUUUUGGUAUCCUUACAUUAAGGAGCUUGAUCGCCAGCGAGGAAGGGGGCAAUUAGCUGUUGAAUCUCCACUUCUGUGGACCGAAAGUGAACUGAACUACCUGAAGGGUAGCCCCAUCAAGGUUAGUGUUUUUUCCUAUCCACUAUAUGUCAAUAUAUUAUGAGCACAUUUUAUGCAGUGUCAAGUAAUAUACAACUUAGAUUUUCUAAUAUUUCAGGAUGAAGUUGUUGCAAGAGACGAGGGAAUAAGGCGAGAGUAUAAUGAGCUCGACACACUGUGGUUCAUGGCAGGUUCAUUGUUUCAGGUGCUUUCUUUUGACCUUCCAAAAUGUUCCUGUCUCUGGGAUUCUGUUGCACUAGCUGCUUGUUGUUCUCAUGUCAACUGUUAUGCAGCAAUAUCCUUUUGACAUACCUACCGAGGCUUUUCCAUUUGAGAUCUUCAAGCAAGCUUUUGUCGCAGUACAGUCUUGCGUGGUCCAUUUGCAGGUAACAUAAUGAGCAAUGAGAUUUCAUUUAUCAAAAAAAUUAGAUAUUACCCCGAUUGGUUGUUGGUUGGUUUAAAUAAUUAUCUCUGGUGUUGAACUGAAGUUUAAGAUUUACUUAGAGUGUACACCAUUUAUGAACAGAACAGUUUAGUGCUAAAUACCUUGCCCAUAUAAUAGAUUAUACAAGCCUCGCAGUAUUUUUGUCAAAUUCAAUAAAUUUGGAAAUUUGCUUCUUCAAAUUAUGUAGAUUUGUUCUGUAAGUAUUUUUUUUUGUUUCAUAUGUUUUAUUUGCUUAAUACUUCAGUUUGGGAUCAACAGUUCAUAGCAUGCCAGCCUUUUAUUUUAUUACUGGAUAAAUACUGAACCUGCUCGUCGCUAAGUUAUUUUUAUUUUUCAUUGAAGAACAGAAAGUUAGUUUAGCUCGAAGAUUUGCGCUAGUUCCAUUGGGCCCACCACUAUUGACCUACAAGAGCAACUGCAAAGCAAUGCUGACAGCUGUUGGUGAUUCUGUUCGGUUGGUUGUGGAUCGACCAUACAAAGCGGGAGAACCAAUAAUCGUCUGGUAUAAUAUUUUCUUCAGAUGCAUUAAAAUUCUUGUUGUACCUCAUCAUAUUUGGCAACUUCAGUGCUUAUUUACUGUUUGCAUAUUUCAUUUCUGUUGUUUGUGCAUCUCCACUGUAACGUCAAGCUAUGCAAAUUGUACAGGUGUGGGCCACAGCCUAACUCUAGAUUGCUCCUCAACUACGGUUUUAUUGACGAAGAUAAUCCAUAUGAUCGUAUAGUGAUUGAGGUGGAAUUUGUUUUGCUAUUGUUCUACAUUCAUCUUCUUAUUGGAUUUGUGUAAGCAAUACUGAAUCAUUGUUACAGGCAUCCCUAAACAUAGAAGAUCCUCAGUUCCAAGAGAAGAGAAUGGUUGCUCAAAGAAAUGGGAAGCUGGCUAUCCAAAAUUUCCAUGUGGGAACUAUGAUUUCCUUUUUCUUUUCCAUUUGGAAUGCAACUACAAAUGUUGUAUAUUGACAUGCCUUAGGUGCAUUAGGUCUGUGUGGGUAAAGAGAAGGAAACAAUUGCAGAAAUGCUGCCCUAUUUGAGGCUAGGAUACAUUUCAGAUCCAGAUGAAAUGCAAUCCAUACUUUCUUCAGAAGGUGAUACAUGUCCAGUAAGUCUACUUGCCCUUAAUUGGCCUUACUAUUAGAAUUUUCAGAAUUUUCAGUUACGGUUAGAAUUUUUAAUUACACAUAUGAGAUAAAAUGGAGCAGGGCAAGGUGACAGUGUCGUACAUUGUUGUUUUAUUUAUUACAUUUUUGGGGUCAUUAUGCUUGCGCAGUUAGCCAGUUUAUAGUUUCUGCCUUUUUUCUUUACAAGACUCCAAAAGCACUUUCCAAUGGGCUCAGUUUUUAUGGGGCUUCUGCCUUUAAAUAUUGCUUCAAGCCUUGAAGACCCAGAAGUAUUGAUCUAGUGUCAUUAGUCAUUACUAUGUUUGUAACAAAUUGAAGCUAGACAAACAGGCAUUUGAUCUGAAGAUCUUGUGUUAUGUGAAAUGCAAUAAUUACAUCUGGUUGAACAUUUAGGAAGAGAGAACAUUUCACAAGUAGAUAAUUUGGAAAAUGCCUUUACAUUUGAAGCUUUCUUUUAGGCCAUCACAUUUGUCAUUCCAGGUUUUUAGGAUUUCAUUCAAGUUAUAAGUUCAUCUAACCCAUUAUUUAUUUUUAGUCGGGUUGAUCUAAGGUGCAGAUUGUUCAAAACUAAACCGGCUUGCUACAAAGCAAAUCCAUCAUACAUUUAAAGUGCAAUAUUUUGCCAUGCAAAUAUCCCACAGUAGCAUGUAGGGUUUCCAUUGAGUUUUUAUGGAAGUUGAGCAAUGGUUCUAAAUAGACUAUGUGGUAAUAGUAGUGUUAUGCAUAACACUGUGUAAAUUGUGACAUGUUUCCAACUAUGAUUAUAGGUCAGUCCAUGCACAGAGCGAGCAGUACUUGACCAACUUGUUGGAUACUUGGAGUCACGAUUGGCUGAUUAUCCAACAACUUUGGAUGAGGAUGAUGCUAUGGUAACGAGUUGCAAAGCACUAUGUGUAUGUUUUUUUGUAAAAUCUCUGAUACGUAAUGUAAUGAAGAGCAUUUCAUUUCUCUGGUAUUGGGCAGUUGGCAGAUGGCAAUUUGGAACCAAAAAAGGAAGUCGCUACUAGGCUUGUAAGAUUGGAGAAGAAAUUGUUGCAUGGUUGUCUCCAGGCUGCUAAUGAGUUCAUAAAUGAUUUGCCUGACCACACUGUGUCACCUUGCCCUGCUCCAUUUGCUCCUGAAUUGAAAUAAGGUAGGCAAAGCUCAAUAAGUUUUCACUGCUUCCCAAAGUAAAUUUAUUAGACCGUUUACUGUGUACCAUGUUGAUGUAAUUGAUCUAAUAGACUGAAUUUUAUGGAUGUGCAGAAAAGUAAAGCAUGCAGCGAGCAUUAAUUCUUGCAACAUGGGUGUCACUUCUAAUGGUGUUCUCAUUAAUGAUCACAUCCAGUUGAAGUGCAUUAGAAGGUAAUAAAUCUGAUAAAUUGUUACUCCUUUAAAAUACAUUCAAGUAGUAGGAUUUAAACCAGUACUAAUAUUGCUCUGGUAUUAUAAUUUUUUUAUUGUUAGAAGUUUAGAACCUACUGAAAGUGUGUAACUGAAAGAUAAAAUACCAAAUAAAACUUAUGAUUCAACUAUUCCAUUGUUACUUGGGGUACAUUCUCCCAACCCUUGCCGUGCUUUUUUUUUUCUUGUUGUGCGCGAACAAAAAAUUUAGGAAUUGUCUAUGAAUCUCUGAAUAUUUUUUUUCUAUUUCUGAACUUUCUUAAUUUUAAAAUUUAAAAAUAGACCCUUCUAAAACUUAUUUCCAAAAUCUGAACCUUUUAGGCACGCGAACCAGGGUGGCGUCGCAAAACAACACUGACCCCACCCACAGCGGGCGUGAUAGUUUUAUUCUACCACGCCAACUAUGGUGGUGUGGCAAGACAAUGCUAAAUAAUGCUACCAUGCCAGCCAAACUGGCGUGGCAGUAUUGUUUUUCCUACUGAAAGUAUUGUUUGGCGUGACCAAAAGGUUCAAAUCUUGAAAAUAAGUUUUGGAAGGGUUUAUUUUUAAAAUUAAAAAUAAAGAAGGUUUUAAAAAAUAAUUCCUGAAUAAUUGGUGAAGAUAACAACAUAGCUAUGUCAAUGGUAGUCACCACACCUAAAUCACUCAAUACUUUUUAACUUAACUAAAGUAGUUUCUUGAGCAUAAUUUAGCUACUUCAUUUCUUCCUAAAAAUAGUUCCUAUAGUUAUAACAGGUCAUUUGGAACAUAAAAAUGGCAAGACCAGAAUAAGAGGCACAGGAAAUCAGUAAUGCAAUGACAGAAUACAGGAAUGCCCUCUGUCCUGUACGCAACACAGGAAAGCAUAGCAUGGUAAAAAUAGUCCCAUUUGGUCUGUGCCUUGUUCCUUAGUGGUUGGGCACUGUAAAUUAAAUGGCCAAUUUUUGACAUAUAAAGUAGCCUCUAUUCUCUCUUAUCCCAGUCCUGUCUUUUGCAUCUCCUUAUCCCUCUUCUCACCUGUGCAAACUUGAGGGGAGAAGCCAGACCAUCCGCUAUGCUGCAUCAAUAACUUUGGCUAGGUUGCACUGCAACACGCACAACAGUAGGAGUAUGUACUGUGUAGAACUUACUGUGAGAAGUCGGAUGUGUGAUCCCAGGUCCCAGCUGAAUAAAUUUCUCUCUUUUUUUUCAUUUUGAAAAACAUGUAAUUUGCAGCCAUAUACUGCAAUCGAUUUGGGGAACUAAAUUUAAAAGACAGAUGCAUGAAUGAACCACAACAAGAAAUCAAAAUACAGCAGCAAGAAGUAUCUGACAACAUCACAACAAAUGAGCAAAUCGAUUUCAUGAUUCAUGUGCAUGAUUUGAGAAAUCAAAGGUAGACCUCUAGAUCUGAUGCAAAGACAACCUAAGCAAAGUAUGCUGCUUUUAAUGAUCAAGCAUACGUCUCUGUUCCUUGGUGUCACUCUGGAGAAUGGCUCGAGACCAUCAUUUCUCAUGGGAGCCCUGAGGUAAUGCCAGACCAAGGCACACAGCUGCUGUCACUGAAGGUGGGGAUGGAUGACUUAGUGCUGGAGCUGGGCUGCUGGGGACCUUCCUGAACUGGCCAAGCUGAAGAAGUCACUGGAUCUGUAUUUGUUUUUGGUUUGACCGGUGGUUUGGUCUGUCUCUUUUCUCGGACAUAGAAUAGACUGUCUUGGAUGUUGCAGUGUAGACGGGGGCGGCUAAUGGGCGGGUGACCGCCCCAGGCGAUCACCCCCCAUCCCCCCUAUACACUACUCUCUUUCUUCCUCCUCUCCUUCUUUUCUUCCUACUACACCAUAAAUUUUUUAAAAAUAAAAAACACAAAGUUGAAAAAAUUUAUGUAUAGAAAUACUAUAUAUAAAAAAAUUGAAUUCAAAUUCAAAAUUGAAACGGGUAUGUAAACUUUUGACUUAUAAACUUUGCGUCUAUAAACUAAUAUUUAAAUUCAAAUUCAAAUUUGAACCGGGUAUGUAAACUUUUGACUUAUAAACUUUGGGUCUAUAAACUUUAGGUGUAUAAACUUUAGAUGUAUAGAAAUACUAUAUAUAAAAAUAUUUGAAUUCAAAUUCAAAUUUGAAUCGGAUAUAAUUCAAAUUCAAAUUUGAAUCGGGUAUGUAAACUUUUGUCUUAUAAACUUUGGGUCUAUAAACUUUAGGUGUAUAAACUUUAGAUGUAUAGAAAUACUAUGUAUAAAAAAUAUUUGAAUUCAAAUUCAAAUUUGAAUAGGAUAUAUAAACUUUUGAUUUAUAAACUUGAGGUGUACAAAUUUUAGGUGCAUAAAUUUACUAAAAAAGGAAAGUAAUGCGGUGCCAAAAAAGGAAACCAGGUGGAGGGAGGGGAUUGAUCGAUCGCCGGGUAGCAAUCUCGAGUGUAGACUGUGGACCAUAUUUGGUGUGCAUUGCUUGUUUAGUGUGAAGUGGUAAAGAUAAGGGCACAUCAGCAGAGUGUAGACUGUGGACCAUAUUUGGUGUGCAUUGCUUGUUUAGUGUGAAGUGGUAAAGAUAAGGGCACAUCAGCAGUUGCGUGACAUUAUGUCGGUGGCAUCAUAUAGGGUAGCUUCCCAAAAGUUAGUUGUUUAUCUGUUCUUUCAAAAUUUUGUAAAUGAAUCCUCAGUAGUGCUUCUUUGCAGGAAAUCUGAAGCCUGGCUGACGGGUGUAAUAGGGAUUUCACUGCCCGCAUGCAGAUUUGGCGAUUAGUUGCAUUGCACACAAGUGUGCACGGAUGUUUUGUUAACCUAGUGGCUUUUAUAUUCACUGAGUAGAUUCUGUACAUUCUGAUGAUUGACUGAGAUGGUAAUGCCAAUGUACAUGUUCAGUCUCAUUUGUCAAUAGAGAUUCUGUACAUGUUAUAUUUUUGGGUGUUGGCAUGAUUUCCGCCGUUCUCUUUUCAUGGCCUGUUUGAUUUUUAGCUGUCUGACUACACAGCAGAGAAUUGUAUGCAACAGUUUACUGUGAUGGCUGCCAAGGAAUCGCAUUCAUUUGAAAUGCUCCACCAUUUUUCUGUCUACAGCAAUUAGUCUCCCUACCCUGAUGAUUAAUACCUUUUUACUGGGCUGAUUUCAAAUCUGGAUGAUCCACAAAGCAUGAACUUGAGAACAAAUCGUGCUACAUAAUUUGUUUUCUUCACAUUCUGCCACUACUGAUUAACAGAUGGAUGAAUCGUGAUGAUGAACCAUGGCUUGAUACUCGCGGGACGAUUUGAGAGCCCGGUAAUAUUAGCAGAGAUGAUAACAGAAAGGAAGAACUUGGAGUAAAUUUAGGUGUCAGUCAUUUUAUUGAUCCUUUGCUGGAUGAAGAAUGCUCCUGUUUAACUCUCUGAUGGAACAUGCCCAACGCAGUGAUACAACUACGAUCCUUCAAACAAAUUCGUGACACCACCAAACAGGAACAGGUCUUUUUUAUAGUCCACUCUUACAAGCAGUGUAAGUGGUGGCAGCUAAACACAUUUAUUUCAGUGGGCCUCAAAAACCAAUAAUCUCAUUUAAUUCUUUUAAUAUCAAUUUUUGUUUGUGCAUCUCCUUCCAACUCUCUCUCUCUCACACACACACCAUCUAUGAGAUGAAAUAACAUGAUGGCAAGAGGUCCAUUUCCCGAGAGUAAACUAGACAAGAGUUGAUGGCCAUGCUACUGAGUGCCUGAGAGUCGUUUCCAUCUGAUUAUCCUAUUUCAUUUCCCCUUGCUGAAAUCCUCUAAAUGAUUUUCCUUUUCUUCUUGCAAUAUAAUGCAUAUGUACAUGAUGCUCGACCACGAAGUCUGACCAAUAUUGGAUUGGGAGCCAACAGGAAAUGAUAAAGCGAUUUAGCCACAUGUCGCACAUCUUAGUAUUUAAGAUCAAGUCUCCUUGUGGGGUGAACAACUCAUGAGUGAACAGUGGCUUGCGCUAGUUCAUUGCUGUAGUGAUGAUACAGAUUGAAAAAACGCCGGCUGGGAGAAUGAAGGCAUCUUCAUCUCCAUCCAUACUCUUCAGCACAUGGAUUCUGGGCUGAUAGGAUUCUACUACCCAGCAGCUGAGCAUAUACACAUGGUGAAACACAUAACAUUUUCCUCUCAUUAGCUAGGGAAAGAGCUUGAAUGCUUGAUGCAUCUGCUUGGCCUGAGCAUGCUAAAUUAAUCCAAUCCGUUAUCAUGUUUUCUUCCUCUUGUAAUGUAUUAAGUUGCUUGUCGCGUGCAUGUAAUCAAGUAAAAAAGAACUAUACUAAUUGGAUUGGAAGGCGCAGUGAAAUGUUAAUAAACAAUAUUCCACCCAAAUCAUGAGUUAACCAUAUCGAUUAGUUCCUCGGCAUUAAAUCCUUACUUAAUUAGUUGCAGAUUGAUAUAUCAUGCCCAUGCAACAUGAUUUCAUCCUCACCUUUCAAGUAAGCAUGUGUGGCUGCAUUGUGUUAUAUGUGUAAAAUGGCCAAAUUCAAGAGGAAUUGAGCGGAUUUGUUAAACUAUGUGAAGAAGAAUUAUACGAUACAUAUACCAGAACCAUGCCUAUGGGUUGAUAAAUUAUCUAAAAGUAUUGGACGUUAAAGUAAAUUUUCAAUUAAAGUAUAUUAAACAAGACAUAAUUUCCCCGCAAAAAAAAAUCAACACAUAUAAUUAUGCACCAAAGAUGGGUACACAAGCUACCUCAUUUUGUCUUGUUAGAAUCUUUAAGAAAUUCGUCCAGCGGAGAAUUGAUUUACGCCUGUUUGAUUUUUAGCUCAGUCUGACUACCCAGCAGAGAAUAGUAUAUAAAACAAAAGGAGUAAAUUGCAUUGGUAGUACACAAACUUGUUAAUUGCGUGUAAUUUAGUACAUAAACUUAUAAAAUACUCGUUUUAGUACAUAAACUUGUCUAUUUGUGCAAACGAGGACCAAAAUAACUUGCCAAUGUUGAUUUUACGAAGUUGAUGUUGAUUAGGAUGUGAUGUACACGUGUAAUGAGUAUGAACACUGCUAUAUGUACGACUGCUCUAUCCGACCGGUGUAUGACGGAACGGCAGAGCAGCACAAUACUUAACGGCGUAAGUCGGAACAGCACCAGCAGCACAGCUCUUGACGUCGUGUAAUACGCAGUCGUACGUCGGUCGGACACUUAAGUGGUAUGUAUAGCAUUUUCGAAUGAGUAUGCAUACUUACAUGAAAAAGUUUUUGACAGCGUAUAUGAAACAAUUUACUGUGAUAGCUGCCGAGGAACCGCCAUUGAUUUGGAAUGUUCCACCAUUUUUCUGCCUCCAGAAAUUGGUCUCCCUACCGUGAUGGUAAAUACCAUUUACUGGGCGGAUUUCAACAUCUGAGUGUUCCACAAAGCAUGAAUUUGACAGCAAAUCACUACUUCGAAACAACACAUCAGUAUCGGUUCGACAAAACCUACCACUGAUAAUGGUUUUUCAUCCUAUAAAACACUCGCACUAGCAUUGAUGAGAAGAUACCAGUGUCGGAUCAUAUAAACACUACUGGAAAACUGAUUUUUCAUGGGUGGUGUAAAAUUCACAAUAAUCCCGGUUUAAAUAGGAACCGAGACUAAAAUUAUUUUUAGCCCUGGUUCAAAAGAGGCACGACACUUUAUGAUCUUUAGUCAGAUUGGUGUUAUCAACCUGGACUAAAUAUCAUUUUUAGUCCUGGUUUAACACGUUGUCAGGCUGUGUCAGGCCCUCCACUAUUUUUAGUCCCGGUUGUUUAUACCAGCCGGGACCAAAGAUUGAAAAAAAAACCGCUCCCACACGCACCUCCUCUUCUCCUUUUGUCCUUAUCUCCUUGUGCUCCCCGUCCUUAGUCUUUAUCUCUUCAUCCUCGUCCUCCACUCCUCCUCUCCUCCCCUCGAUCCCAGCCGCCUCCCCUUCCCGGCCCUCUCCGAGGCGACCUCCCCCUCCCCUCUCCUUAGAUCCCUCCUCCCCUUACCGGCCCUCUCCGUCAGCCGGCGGUGGCUGGCGAAGCCGCGUCAGUGGCGUCGGGCGGAGGCAGGCAGCGGCAGACGGCGGGCGCAGCCGCGUCGGCAGCGUCGGGCGAAGGCAGGCAGCAGUUGGGGGCUAGUGACGUCGUCGGAGCCGCGUCGACGGAGCCGCAUCGGUGGGAGGAGGCAGGCCACGGGCGUCUAUGGCGGUUGGUGGCGGGCGGAGCCACGUCGGCGGCGGCGGGCGGAGGCGCGUCGGCGGGAGGAGGCAGGCCGCGUCAGCGGCGGCUGGCGGAGGCGGAGCCUCGUCGGCGGCGGCGGGCGGAGGCGCGGCUGGCGGGAGGAGGCAGGCCGCGGGAGUCGGCGGUGGCGGGCACGAUUCGGUGGUGGGUGGUGGCGAUUUGAUUUGUGAGGUUUUUGUGAAUGUGUUGUGAUGUAACAUUUGAUCUGUAAAUUUUUUAUUUCAAUAUGAUCUGUGAAUUUUUGAUGUCAAUUUGAGUAUGUUUGAAUUUGUGAUUUGAUGAUUUGUGAUGUCAAAUUGAGUUUGGUGUGAAAUCAAUAUGCAAACAACAAAAAAAACAAUGAAAAAAAAUAAGAAUUUUAGUCCACUAAAACUGGGACUAAAGAUGAGUAUAUUUAGUCCUGGAUUAGGCGUCCCGGUUGUAUACUCGGAAUUGAAGGGAGUUACGAAUUGGGAGUGAAGAUGGUUUCUCCAGUAGUGAAACAACCGGCACUGAUUGUUCCACGUACCAUCAGUAUUAAUUUAUAAGAACAUUGAUACUGAUAAUUAACCAAUCGGUGUCGGUUUAAGUCGCUUGGAGUGGAUGAGCUGGCGUAUUGGUGGGAAAAGUCACCUGUCACUUAUGGUCAUUACUUCCUCUGUCCAAAAAAAACUCAACCUCGUACUACGAUGUGAUACAUAGUAGUACAACAAAUCUGAACAUACUCUACGUCCAGAAUACAAGCAACUGCUAUUCUAAUGAUUGGACAAUUAUGACCUAAACUGGAUGUGUCAGAUCCAACUCUCAUCAUGAUGGCCAAGUGGAAAUAACCCGAUCUCUCUCACAUACUUCCUCCAUCUAAAAAUGCAACCUACAAGGAGAUGUGACCCCUCCUUCUUCUAGUACAAUAAAUCAUGUGACCCCUCCUAGUACGACAUAUCUGGACAACGUAUGCUCAUAUUCGUUGUACAGUAGGUUGAAUUUUUUUGAACUGAGGGAGUAUGCAAUCAGCGAUAUCGAGGUUGGACAGUAUACUUGAUAAAAAAAAAGAUUGGACGGUGCAGGUAACGUGCUAUUACAGAAACAAAAGCCGAAGCGAACGAAAUCAAACAGCUGAGAAACUGAUUGUGAUCAAGGAGAUUUUAUAGCGACUUAAAUUUAGUAAAUCCGAUUCCUUUAUAAGUUUUGUUUGUGCAACUCCUUCCAACUUGCUUAUAUAUACACCACCAUCUAUGAGAUGAAAUAAGCUAGAAGAGAUGGUGGUCAUGCUUAGGUGAGUGCCCGAGUGUGGUGUAUCCAUCUUAUUAUCCUAUUUCAUUUUCCCUUUUGCAGUAGUCCAGUAAAAAAAAUGUCCUUUCUUCUUGCACUGCAUAAAUAUGUGAUAUUUGCUCAUGAUGUUCGAAUCAUAUGGGAUUGGAAGCCACCAGGAAAUGAUAAAAUGAUACAGCCGUAUGUGUUGCUCGCCGUGUGCAUGUGUUUCACACAUCUUACCUAGUGAAAAGUAAAUUUCAAAAUGCUACUAGGAUGAGCCACAUCAUCAGGUGAACAAUAGCCAUUGGAUCGACAAAAAAAUAAAAUAGAGAGAAGAGAGUUGAACCAUUGAUUAUAGAGGAAAGGAAAAGACGAAGAACUUUCGAAGCUUUCCAGCAAUGCGGAACGCGAGAGAAAGGGAAAAGAAAGAAAAGCAGUAUUGAAAGAGAGUGGGGGCGUUGGCUGGUUUAUGGCAUGUGAUAUAAUUUGCACUAUGCACACUCAGUAAAAGUUAUUUUAUAAAUAAUCCUUCAAAAUUAUUUAUAAAUGGACUCUUGGCUUAUAGGCUCAUAUGUUAUCUAUAGAUAAUCCUUACAACCUACUAAUUCUAAAUUAUCACUAUAACGUUAAUAUCACAAAGUUUGUUAUCACAUAAACAUCUAAUAAAAUUUUCUAUGAUUUUAAUGUUGUACCCUGGAUCACCUCUUUAGCGUAAAAGCUACUCCCUCCAUCUUAUUUUGAUCAUCUCUAAAGAGCACAAAGGCCAAUAUUGAAAUUAAUUCGUAUCCAAUAAGGUGCUCUAUCGUUUCAUUUUCAACAAAAAUUAAUUCACACUUUAAAUGUUGCAUGAGUUGAGCCAAUUAAAAUUAAUAUUUAUUGGUUGCAUGCAUGCAGGGCGUUGCUCCAUGCACAUUUACUCUUUACACAAAUAAACAAAGAAAUACUUUGUUAGGUGAUGAUUAUUUUGGGAAAACCUCAAAAAUCUAAUGUGAUGAUCAAUUUGGGAAGGAGAGAGUGAUAGGUGGGGCUUAAGAACUAGUGUUUCAUCUAUACCUGUUGCUUUCAGGUCAUUACUGAUCCAUUACACUUCUCCCAAGCACAUACUUAACAAAAUGAACUUUGUUUACUGAUGCCAAUUUAAAUAACAUGCUCAUAUACACAUAUAACAUGAUGGUUAAAGUCGUGCGAACGUGUGACAUCAUAGGCCAAUUCAAACUGAAAGGUUUGAAGAAGGUUGCAACAACCAACUAUGCCACGUCAGAUAGACAUACCAAUCUCACCUAUGCAUUUAAUGUUUUUAAUCUUAAAAUAUGUGAAUAGCUAGCUCUUGCAUGAGACCCAAUUCUCUUUAUUUUUUAAUUUUUUCUUCUCCACAUAAGUUUAUAGCCUACUAUUAUACUUGCUCUAGGAGGUGAGCUAGGCUAGGUACUAUUUGGAUCGGGCUUUUCUUUCAUGGGUUGCAUCGGGAGCUAGAGAGUAGUGCAAGCAACCGGCACAUCGCAUCUUUAUUUCCUCGCUCCUCAUCCGCAGCCUCGUUUUCUCUUUCCUCUGGCACCACAGUCUACCGGCGAUGGGCCGACCUCGAGCCAGUGACAUCGCAGCCUCCCAAAGAAUGAGAUGCUCUUCGUCAACCUCAAGGGAAUCAUCGCUGUUGCUGCUUGCCACAGCCGAUCCAAGUUCAUGCUGCGGCUAACAGUGUAUCUAGAAUUUAGGAUAUUGAUGGUCCAACUUAAAUUUUUUUUAAACACCGUAGAUCUAAUGAUGCUAAUAUAUAAUACAAGUAUAGAUAAUGAAAUAAACCAAAAGUGUACCAUGAUAAAUAAGACAUCUUAAAAUACAUAAAAUUAGUAAUUAAGUAAAAUUUUGACUUAUAUGGACAAAAAAGUUUGAAGAAGAUUACCAUACUUCUUCUAGCUUCUUCUUAUCGGGUCUACGCAAUAUCUCUAUCUUUCUUUAUUUUUAACAACCAGUAAUCUACAAUAUAGUACUAAUAUCACAAUGCUCAUUGCACAAAAGUUAAAAUCUUAUAUAGUGAAAGUAGCAAGCUUUCUUGCACAAGGAUGUGCCACAUCAUUAAAAAUAUAUUAGCCGUCGGAUAAAGAGUUCGGAUAAAUAAUGGUCAUUAGAUCGAAAAAGUGUAUGUAUUAAAAAAAAUCACAAAUGAGCUAAACAUAUGGAAAUUUUUGGAGGUUUCUGUUAUCUAUUGUCCUAGCCAAGUAUAUAUACUUUGUAAACAAAUUAACUUAUAUUAAAAUCUUAUUAAGGGUUAAGGUAAACUAAUAGACCAUAUAUAAAAGUUCUUAAACAGGAUCAAAAGUCACGCAGAGCGCGACUAUAUGACUAGUUUAAAACUGAAAAUUGAAAAGGGUAAAAAACCUAAAAUUGAAAAAUCAAAGUCAUCCCGUCGGCCGUCGCGGUCUUGCGGAACAGAACGGAGAGAGUCGGAGACGCGCGCACUCGCAGCCACGCAGGCCGGCCGGGCACCGGGCACGUGGUGGCGCGGCGCAGACAGCGGCUGGCUGCGGGCGGCGGCAGGGCGGGCCGGCGGCGGUUGGAGUAGGCAGCGUCAGUUAAGCCGUCGGCCGUCGCGUGGUUGGUCCUCACUCAUCCGUUGCGAAUGCGAUGCGUGCAGCGGCAGCGAGAGGUGGUGGCACUCAGCAUGCGGCGUAGCAGCGGGGCGGCCGUGCGGCGCUCGGCGAGUCGGCGGCCGGCGCUCGCGGAGUCGCCCGUCAAUGAAGCCGUCGCCGUGUCGCGUACUCGCUUUGCCUAACUCGCGAGUCGCGUCGUUAAUCAUGAUGCGAUACAAUGCCGCGCGUGAGAAAUGAGGAGUCGACGAGGAGAGGUGCGUGAGUGCGAUGACAUGUCAUAGACAGUGAGUGGUAAAUCAUUAAUUGGCACAUCUUAAAAGUGACAAAUAAUCAAAUGUCCCGAUCAUUGGAGUCAUUGCAGGCUUACAGCUCACCGGGUUCACUCACCUCACACCUUCACCCGUAUAAACUAAAAAUGUCCGUUCCAACACCUACAUGGAGAAGGAUAGGAUAGAGAACAGCCAACACUAUGAUAAUAGCUUAACAAGAACAUGCAUAUAUUGGGGAUAAAAUGACUCCACUGCCAAGAAGAAAUCAAGCCAUGUCCAGAAGCUUUUAUUCCAUUCAGGAUUCAGCUCAUCAUUUCAUAAAAAAAAAAGAAAGAAUGGAAAACAGCAAGGAACAUGCAUGUGAUUGAAUCCUGAUUCCCCUCCGCGGUUGCCUUGCCUGCAUGCACUCGAUCAGCAGCAGCAUCUGCAGUGGCGCGGUGCUCGCUGCCGCAGAGACCUCAUCUUGGCUUUGGCUCCACCGAUGAGCCGUGGUGUCCCCUUCACUUUCUUCUUCCCAAGAACGCCAUCAUCUACUUCUGUGAGGCUCCUCUUUUGCCCUCCAGAACAAUCACAAACCAAAGACUUGAGUUUACGGAGCGCUCCUGCUUUAAGUCUAGAGAGUUCUUCAAGUUUAUCGGCCUUGCGAUUUAUGGAAUAAUAUAGUGAGCAAUCAACUUUUUCCCGUGCAUCAUCUGCCGCAGCAUCUGCCUCCUCUAUCUUUCGUACCACAUCAGCUGGAAAACACUGUGUCAAUCCAUAAAAAAACACAUUUAUUUGUUUUAUCUAUAUAUUUCAUAAAUAUUUUUUGGUUGCGAAUGUUAAUUUAUACAGAUAUGAAUUCAUCUACUACCUUGGAGGGUAACCAUUUUACCAUCAUUUGAGGGGUCAGAAUCAUCACCAUAACAUUUGCAUACUUCGCGUGAUCCUUGAUAAUCGUGCCAAUGCCAGGAACAAGCUUGUCACAUUGCUCACGCAGCAUCUUGCCGUAUGCAUUUAGCAGAACAUCAGCUCGACACAGCUCACCAGCACAAGCUAUAAAUGUUCUUCUAUCAAUCUGGAUGGAUCAACAUGAACAUGAUAAAAGAAAGCAUUACAGAACUUGGUCAGGCUGUAAAUGACAAUUGAUUCAAAGCAGCAUCAACCAUCUCUAGCCAUUAAAAAUCCUGGACUUAGAAAUAAACCAGACACUAACCAUUCUGAAUUCAUGAAUGAAUAAAUUUUUCAAUAAAAAAUUGACAUCAAUUAGACACAAUAGAGAUAUCAAGUUUUGUUUUCUCUGGGUCAUCGGGCCAACCAAAAACUCAAUUAAUUGAACUAGGUCAGAAUUCAAUGAAAGGAAAGUGUGAUAACUGAUAACUACUGUACUAGCUAAGGGCAAGUUUUAUAGUAAGGACAGUUGCCACGUUUAAUUUUAUCUAUUUAAGAUAAGAUGUGAUAUAUAUAUAUAUAGACAAUACACCACAUCUACACUACCUCCAACAUACUAAGCCAAAUGAUUUUAUUUGUUUGUCCAAUCCCCUCUUUCUUUCAUCUCAUUUUUCUUAGGGUUUGUAUGGAGGUUGCCUCUAACAUGAGGUGUGGCUCACUUACUCUUUCCUCACUUAGGCCCGGUUUGGUUCCCAAAAACAUCACAUCGAAUCUUUAGACACAUACAUCGAAUAUUAAAUAUAGAUAAAAAGAAAAACUAAUUGCAUAGUUUGCAUGGAAAUCACGAAAUGAUUCUUUUGAGUCUAAUUAGUCCAUGGUUAGCCAUAGGUGCUACAGUAACCCGCAUGUGCUAAUGAUGGAUUAAUUAGGCUCAAAAGAUUCGUCUCGAGGUUUUCAGGAAAGUUAUGAAAUUAGUUUUUUCAUUCGUGUCCGAAAACCCCUUUUGACAUCUGAUCAAACAUCCGAUGUGACACCUAAAAGUUUUCUUUUCGCUAACUAAACAAUGCCUUAUUUCUUCCACCUCAUCAUCCAAUUCUAUUUGGUAUUUUUAGAGGCAACAAAUCAACCAUUACAGUACUUGCCCUAAAUGACCCACACUAUGCUACCACCAUUGGUUUCAGUGUUUCACUACUUGGAUCCCUACACAUACAGCAUAACAACUGGCACAACAGUAAGUCUGAAAUUAAGCAGAAAAUAUAAGGGUGCACGCUAGAAAAGGGCACAACUGCAAGAAAGCUCAGUUCUUACCGUUAUUUUGGACAUAUUGAUUCUAAAUUUAGUCAUGCAAUCUUUUAACACUUGAGGUAAUGGGCCAAGAUACUGGCUAGUGAUGUUUUCCCUUUCUGCUGGUACAAAUUCACACAGAAGAUUCCUUAACCCCCACAUCAGUUCAGGCAUAACACGGGUGGAGAAGUGCUUUUUACUCCCGGUUCGUAACCCCCCUAUAGUCCCGGUUUUUCAACCGGGACUACGAAUAUGGGACUAAAGAUCGCUAUCUUUAGUCCCGGUUUAAAUAACCGGGAUUAAAGAUGGAUCUUUUAGUUCCGGUUGGUGUUACCAACUGGGACUAAAGAUCCUUCUUUUUAGUCCCGGUUGGUAACACCAACCGGGAGUAAAGAGAGAAUAGCGGCAGUUCCAGAUGGUCCCCUUUUUUUUAUUUUCUCCCUAUUAACAACCAAAUUUGGUAAUAUCGGCAUCGGGAAAGAAGAUUAGAUCGAAGUAAAGUCGGAGGCGGAGAUCGAGUUCGGAAACAGAGCAGGAAUCGGUUGUAGUCCAGAUCGGCUACGAUUAGGAUCGGCUGGGUCUGAGUCGGGCUAGGUAAGCCGAUGCAGCCGAUUCCGACAAUGCAACUUGAUGUAUGACAUCGGGUUGAAUUGAGGUGCUUCAAGGUGAUUGCCGCACAUGGAUAGAGUCCUGAGAAGGCAAUUGUAUCUAUUAAUUAGGAUGUUUUAUGUAAUUUUCUUAGAGAUAUGCUUGGGCAAAAGUCUGCCGCAAAGACUUAUGGUAUCUUAGAGUUUGUUAGAGAUAGUUGUCGUGUCCGUUAUGGACAUAUCUUGUAAUUUUCGGGUAUAAAUAGACCCGAGCCCUAUGUAACUUUUAACACACACGUUCAAUACAAUCUCGGCGCAUCACCACCUUUUUUGCUUUAGUUUUAUUUCGACGAGUUCUUGCUUUCGGGUUGAGCUGCAUCGGUUUCGAUCUUCAACAAGAGGUAAAACUUGUAAUGGCGGUUUGCAUUCUCGGGAUUAGUGCUUCCAUCUUUAUGACACUUUAAUCUUGUUUAUGUAAUUCGUCGAGUUAUCAUAUAUCCUACAUAAUCCUUGGCAAUAUCGAUAUCCAACCUACAAUAGGCUAACAUCCGUCAAUAGAAGACAGCCGAUUAGGUUAAAUACCGAUGUUGCCUUAGAUUAUAUAGGAUAUCUACCACUCUAUGACACAUCCAACGGCUUGAUUGUCUAGAUAUUGUCCUUCUUUUCAUACUUAUAGCUGCAUCAGUUAAGUUUGACCUUAUGAGUCGUGAUUAGAAUCUCAAUCUCUAGCCCGCUUCUUGGUUGCUGAUUAGGGUAGUAUCGGAGUUUCAGCCGAUCUUACCUGAUUUAACUACUUUUAUCCCUUUACGUUAAGAUCUUGCUGCAUUUAAGUAUAUUAGGCUUGUGUUUAGUAUAUUCUACUUGCUUUAAUAUCUUAAUAUAGAGUAGUAUCGGAGUAUUAGCCGAUACAUGCUAGAUCUAUCUGAUCGGCUAUGUUAUGAACGUAUAUAGUCUCAUUAUUAAUAUAUAUUUCGAUCUAAGUGAUUUAUACUGUCUCGGCAUGGCGACCGAUCUAUCCCAAUCACUUGAUUUAAGUAUAUAUCGAUAUAAAGAUUAUAUAUUGGUAAUAUCUGCAGCCGAUCGAGUAGAUUCAGUCCUUCCUUAUUUAUUAAUGACUGCCGAUCGACGCAUAUAUGACAUUGGCUCAAAGAUAAAUGAUGUCAUCGGCACCUAGCUGAUCAGCUAUCAUUUAUAGAUUUAACUGCGGUUUCUUUGCUUCUAUUUCUUGUUGAUUACAGGAUCAAAUCAACUGGCACGCUCAUACAUUCGAAGGCGAGCUUUGGACCUGCACUGGAGUUAAGCAGAUCUCCCAGGCCUCGUAUUUUCUGUCAACACUCCCAAAUCUUAUUUUCUCCCAAAUCAAGUGGGAAGCAUAUCCCCAAAUCAAAGUAACAUCCCAAAUCCACAUCACAAAUAAAGUAACAUCACAAAUCUUAAAGUUACAUAUAUACACAAAUCAAAUACAUCACAAAUCCUAAAAAAUUACACACAAAUCAAAUACAUCACAGGUCAUCUUAGAUCCAUCCAAUAAAUCACAAAAUUAUACAUGUGAAUCACAAAUUAAAAAAAAAGAGAAAACAACUCCGUUGCUGCCGCCCGCCAUGGCCGCCAGCCCGCCGCCGCCGUCGCCCCAGCCCGCCGCCAGCCCGCUGGCCGCCGCCUGCCGGAUGGGAAGGGGAGGAUGGGCAGGAAAAGGGAGAGGAGGAGGUGGAGGAGAGGGGAGGGGAUGAGGAAGGGGAGGAGGUGGAGGGGAAGGGGAGGAUGGGCAGGAAGGGGAGAGGAGGAGGUGGAGGAGAGGGGAUCGGAUGAGGAAGGGGAGGAGGUGGAGGGGAUGGAUCGGGAUGAGGAUGUAGGAAGCGGAGGAGGAAGGGAAAGAAGGGGAGAGAUUCGAUCUGUGGAGGUGAAGAUAAGGAAUAGGAAUUAAUUACUACGCUUCGAAUUUUAGUUCCGGUUGGUGUUCCCAACCGGGACUCGUUGGAAACACCAACCGGAACUAAAGUGGUGAUUUUAGUCCCGGUUGGGAACACCAACCGAAACUAAAGUGGUGAUCUUUAGUCCCGGUUGGUAACACCAACCGAGACUAAAGAUCCUCGGCCCCCUGACAUCAAUCUGACAGGGGAUGAACCGAGACUAAAGAACCAACUGGGACUAAAAAUCAUAGAAUGCCUCUUGGGUUUUCAACCGGGACUAAAGAUCAUUUUUAGUCAUGGGAUUAUUAUGGUUUUGGGUCGACCCAGCAAAGAUCAUUUCUCCACCAGUGUAAUAUGAUCUUUCUGGGAGACAUCAACUUUCUAGCAAGAAAAGGUUACAGAGAUUAGUCAACUGUGACUACGAUUCAUGCAAAGACAAAAAAUACUACUCCUUCCAUUUCGAAAUGUUUGAUACCGUUGACUUUUUAGCAUAUUUUUGACCGUUCGUCUUAUUUAAAAACUUUUGUGAAAUAUGUAAAAUUAUAUGCCUACAUAAAAAUAUAUUUAACAAUGAAUUAAAUGAUAAGAAAAGAAUUAAUAAUUACUUAAAUUUUUUGAAUAAAACGAACGGUAAAACAUGUGCUAAAAAGUCAACGGCGUAAACAUUUCGAAACGGAGGGAGUACUAAAAAUAGAUGUACCGACCAGAUCGGUUUCGAUGGCACCUCUAAGUUUUUCAUCCUCAACAAUCAACGGUUUUCCACAUUUACAGUAUCUCAAGAUGCGCUCAGCAAUCUCCUCAGGAAGACCAUCACAAUGCCACACUGUCGACUCAUCAAUCUUAAUGAAUUUGAUCAAUAAGAUGAGCUGGUAACAACAGUCACAGCAUGAUAUUAGGUAUACAAAGGUUAAGGCGCAAAGUCACAAAUGAAACAUAGGAGCCCUGCAUCUUUCCAACAGAUUGCUUUUUGUCAUUAUUAUUUUCUGGUGUAGGGUGGCUACUUCCGCAUUAUUAUUUUGCAGUCUAAGAUUAUUUGAUUUUAGUCGUGAUGUACUUUUAGUUGUAGCAAACUCUUUAAAUGACAGUGAUAGCCAAGGAAACCACAUAAAACUAAAUUAAGCUAGUUUAUCUACGGAUAUGAGUAAUAAUCCUGGAUGAAAGUACCAAGCAGAAAACUCUCUCUAAUGAAAGUAAAUAUGGUAGAAUCAGGAAGACCCAACUUGUCUAACAAAAUCAAACUUGGCAAAACGCGACCACAGAUGCUGCAAAAUAACAAUACAGAGUGAAAAAUCAUAAGAAUAAUUACAGACAAUAACCUGCAAUUAAUGAUGACUUGGGAUAUAUAUUGCGUAUACAUACCUGUUCAGAACAAAGUGUUUGAAAUGCAACGAAGAGAGCGAAUCCCGACGGCGUCUUCAGCACCACUAGAUUGUCCACGUAUUCGAGUUCCAUAUAUACGCUCAGGCCUUCUUUAAUUGAUCCAGUUCACAAGAGCACAACAAAUUAAUCCUAGUUAGUUCAGCGCACACUCAACUCGAUUAGGGCAACUAUUACAGUGACGCUUUGCAUCUGGAUAUCACAAAAAACGUACAUUAAAAUCAGUGGGACUGUGGGGUACACCAGUUUACAACAAUAUAUAUAUAUAUAUAUAUAUAUAUAUAUAUAUAUAUAUAUAUAUAUAUAUAUAUAUAAUUAUAAUGAUUCGAUCAUAUCAGGAAAUGCCUCACACAGGAAAGAAAUAUUUGCUCAUGGAUAGAUCGAUGCUAGAGAUGACUAAAUCAACAAGAUCGUUGACAUGGACCAUCGAUACCACCACAGCUCGAAUUUGACUACAAUAUCAAGCUACUACCUAUAUACGAUAUCCCGAUCCAGAUCAUCGAUGCCAAGAAAGGACUCGACGAUGCAUAGCAAAACGAGGACCCAAUGCUAUUACAGGAGAGGUGUAGGAAGGAAGAAAGCCCGUGGACGCAUGCGCCCGCGUACGUACCUCGAGUGCAGGCUGCGGAUUCAGCCCACGGUGCACACGAGGUGGAGGGUGGGGUUAUAUAGGAGCAUUCCUAGCCGCAAAUCUAAAUUUGAUCCGUUAUAUUUUCCAUCCAAUUGGAUGGCUAUCCAGAAAAAAAAAAUCCUCUCCCCAUAUUCCUUUUUCACUUUCUUCUAUAUUUUAGUAUUACAUUCCAACUAACGUUAAUAACGCAAUAUAUACUUUAUAAUGGCAAUAUCUGUAAAUCUUGCUAAAAAAUCCAAAUUUAUUGCAUUACAAAUCUAUAUCUAUAUUUAUAUCUAUACCUAAUUAAAAAAUACAUAAGGGUUCCGACAAUUUUUUUUCGUCCGUGCGUAUUCUUUUCGCCGUUUUUUUUUUCGUCGUCUUUUUCGGUUUUAUUCCCAUCCGCUUCUUUUCAUGGGUUGGCAUGGCUGUUGGGCCCGAGGAUGGUGGCCCGAGGAGGAGGAAAGGAAGAGAGGUGGCUGCUGGGCCCAAGUAGAGAUAGGGAUGACGGCCCAAGAGGGAGGGAUGGCAGCCCAAGAGGGAGGAGAAGGAAGAAUGGGCCAGAUUUGGCCCAGAAUUAGGAGAGGGUUUUUAGUUUGUUUUUACUUUAAAUUAAUUAUUAAAAUUAUAUUUGUAUUAUUAAAAUUAGCAAUUGAGCUUUGAAAAAUUCAAAACAAGUCUAGAUAGUAUGGUUCAUUCGUGAAGAAUUUAAUAAAAAAUAUAUUCAGUAUUUUAUUUUAAUAAUAACAUGUUAUUUAAUUCUAAUUCUAAUCUAUACCUCUAUACCUAAUAAAAAAAUACGUAAGGAUUUCGGGUGAUCUGUUUAAUUGUCGGGUCAAAACCGCGGUUGAUAUAGUAUAUGUAUCUUCCAUGUAAUCACCUCUCUCCUUUUUACACAUAUAUUACUUGCACUGUGUAUAUGUGGGCCUCUCCUGGAAUAAGUCUACUUUCCCUCCCUCCUGUCAAAUCAUAUUUGCGCGCAAAUUUUUUUUUCCUCGACCACUAGCACGGAACAUGCACAUCCGGUUGAUGAAAAAUCAAAACUAUAGCACCUCUUUCUUCAACAAUUUUUUGAUGAUUAUAAAAUCUUAUAAUGAACUAGUUUUUAAUUCAAAAUUUUAAUUUAAUUAUAUUAUGUACACAAAAAUCCUAAUUGUAACUCAUGAUUUUUUUAAAAUAUAUAUAUUCAAGCAAAUUCCCACAUUGAAUUUCACCUUAACUAGACCGUAUAACAACAAUAAGAUUAAAAUAAAUUUCAGCCGUUGCAACGCAUAUACAUUUUUUCUAGUAUAUAUCAAUUACCCUAAUCUCAUUUUUAUGUUCCUCUGUCAUAUUUGUCCAAUCAUAUUUCUCUUCCUCUCUUCUUUAUACCUAUCGACAUGAGAGAGUGAUAGUGCAGGCUCAAGUGUGGGCGCGGGUGGAGAACAAAAUGUCGACAAGGGUGGCACGGGUGCGAGGCACAGUCGGCGUAGGCACGGGAAUGGGGAGCUAGGGUCGGCGUUGGCGGCACAGCCUCGAGCGUUGGUGGAGCAGGCAUAAGGCCCGGGUGGCACGGCCACAGGCGUGGGCGGAGGAGCGGGCUAAAUUUGGGGGUUUCUUUCACCGGGAUAGUGGGCGCGCUAAUUUUGGAGGCACUGAUGCGUAUCAGCUGCAAUUUAGUUGAUGGAUUGGAUGGGAUAGAUGAGCUGCUGAGAAUGCUCUAAUAAGAUAAUGUUGUGGUCUAAAAAUGGUGAGGUAUUGGAUUCGGUUUUGACAGUGUUAGUGAUAUGCCCUAGAGGCAAUCAUAGAGAUGAUUGUAUCAUAUACUAUGUUUACAUAUUUAUCCGAUAUUGUUCCUUGAAAUAGAUAACUCAUUAUUGGUUAAUGAAUAUGUGAUUCUUUCAUGAGACUCUUUAUGUUAUGUGUUACUAUUUCUAAAGGAUUCCUGAUCAAAUAUCAUAUGUGGAACAAAUAUGUUUAGAUGAUCAGCAUAUGUAUUAAUUGAUGAUCAUGUCUCAUCGAUCAUGGUAUAGAGAUACCAAAAUAAUAAUGUGGACACAUGUUAGUGAACAUGUUAUUAGAUAGACCCAACAUGAGACACUGCAAGAGCCAUAUGUGUUGUGUCAUCAGUGAUCUCAUUUAGUGUUGGUGUUGAAUCCAUAGACCUGAGGUUAUCAUGGUUUCUAACAUGUGUAGUAACUUACUCAGGGACUGCUAAACGCUACUCCGUAACUGGAUAGUUAUAAAAGUAGUUUUCGGGUAUGCUAUGAAACAUGCAGUGGGAUAUGAAUAAUCAAGAUGGGAUUUGCCCCUCCUAUGGAGAGAUAUCUCUGGGCCCCUCGAUGUUAUAGAUUAUGGAAGUGCAUGGCCAUACCAAAGGUGAUUGAGGAGUCAAUCACAAGUUAUAUAAUCUAUCAACAGGUUCGAGUGAAUGAUUAAGCUAUUAGAGGAUGACACAUAUCUAGCCUUGAGCUUAAUCGAUAUCGUGAGGCAAAGGGGUUCAUACAAGUAUACACUAUAGGUUCAUCCGAUAUGAUCUUUAUGUAUGCCCGGUGGGUCAAUACGUUCUGCUAGGGGCAGCUGUUGACGCGUGGACCGAAAAGGAGUUUUCGGGUUACAGCCGAGUAUAUAUGAACCUACAGGGUCGCACGCUUAAUGGGCCGGAAUAAGGGGAUUGCAUAGAGAUCCAAUAUGAGCUUAAUUCGGAUAGGGAUCCGAAUAGGAGUCCUACGGGCCUUGGAGGCCCGAGUGAUAGAUCCUAUAUAUUCGUGAGGGGUGUGACCGGCAGAGGCAUUGCAUCACGUGAGAAACCCUAGCCGUCACUUCCCUCCCCGAGUAAAACCCUAGCCGCGCGCGGGUGCUAGCACAUCUGCGCGUGGCGUUCCGUCCCUGUACGUGUGGAUACCGGUAGAGGCGCCGCUGGUUUGCGGUGCUGAUCGGCGUGGGAGUACGGCGAGGAGAACGCACGAGGAGGAGAAGGUCGAGCCGGUGCGAUCGACUACUUCCUCUACAUCGACGCGCACUGCUUCGCGAGAGUUUCUUCGACUUCUCAGCGUCUUCUUCCGCUGCGCAGCGCGUCGAGUGGUAACGAUCUAUGAUCUAAUAUUUGCAUGGUUCCUGGUUUACGUGAUAGAAAAUUUUGAUUUAUGCUAUCGUAGCCUACGCGUAUCCCAACAGACAGCAUAAUGUAGCUUGGUGCUCUGGCGGCUUGGCUGAUGUUCAAAGUGGAUAGUCGGUGUCUUGCUCGUUUUUGCGAUGCCUUUGGCAACGAUGAUGUGAUAAUUGUGGAGUUGGAGCUGCUGUGUCGCUAAGCGACAAGGUCGGCAACAACACUUGCCUCACGAAGUCAAAGCCUUUGAAUUACUUGCAACAAGCUCUUUAUCAAUGGCUGUUUUUUUGGGCUCCGCUAUUGUCCUUUUUUCACGGUCUUAGUUAGAAUGUUGUGGUUGUGGUUUUUGCCAGUUUCUCCUAAUUAACUGUGCAUUGUAAGGUUUGGUCAUGUUUUCUUCUUAAAAUAUGACACAUUCUUCUCUAUAUAAAACGCCGCAACGGCAUGACCGUUCGAAAAAAGACAACAUAAUGUAGGGGCCUAAUGUGCAGCAAACAUAUAUUUUUGCAUACAACUAUUGGCCAAGUUUUAGUUAACUCCAUUAACUAUCCAAGCUGUGUUAUUUUAUUGGCUCCUUUUUGUGAUUUGCAUACUGGUUUACGCUGAUGUGCUAAUGACAUGGGACUAAAUGAGCGGGUAUGUUGGAUGUUUAGAUGCCAUAUGGCAUUUAAACUCUCUUGGUGCGCACGAGUAGCGGCAAAAGGAGAGGAGGAGGAUGAGCGCCAUUUUAUAGGCCGGGGGAGGAGGGGAAUGGCUGGCAAGCAAGGUGGCCGGCCAUCAAUGGCGACAGUUUGUCGGAGAUUAAAUUUAGCGAAUUAAAUCCAAAUUGAAAGGGGCAAACAUGGGAAAAUAAAGAGGAGGAAGAGAGGAACCGAUUUUUACAAUCAACUAGUAAGGUAGCCCGCGCAUUCGCAUAGGCAUGUAUCGUAGACUGUGUUUGAGAACUUAUAAUGAUGAAAUGUUAAUCGGAACUUAUAAAAGAUCAUUUUAUUUAUUUAUAUUAUUUGAGCACAUUUAAAAAAACAUUAAGUAAUUGGACUAUUUUCUCUAAUUAAAGGAACUCGAUGUUUUAUGCAGUGGCUCAAACUAUUCAUAUUUCAGUUAGUUAUUUUUGUUUACGAAGUGUAUGUUUAAUUUAGCUAUACAUGUUUCAAAACAUAGCAUGGUGCGACUCUAUGUUGUUGAGUUAUUUCUUUUUCUUUUGGCAAAUUAAAUAUAAAAAUUUUGUUCUGGUACUAUUGAUUUAAUUUAGCUAUGCAUGUUUGUAGAAUUUUUCAUAAUGACAUAAUAUUUAUUGUCAAAAUUUUAAGGUAUUUAGAUGUGGUGCAAAGUGCAUGGGUGGACUGUGCCCAAAUGCUAUAAUUCUUAUGCAGCAAAAUAUAUGCAUAUAUAAAUAUUACAUUGUUAGUUUAAUUAUAAAUAGAGAAUAAUUAGAUAGAAAUCAGAAAUGUAUAGCUUAUAAAAAAAUUGUAGUUGUUUCAACAUUGAUUGUUUCUCUUCUAGUUUAGUAGCUACAAAAAUAAGGAAUGGGAGGGCAGUGUUUUCUACAUGUGAGAUAGAGGAGGUGGAGGGAUUUUAGUGAAAACUGUUGAUGCAAAAACACGAGGCCUGGAAAAUCUGCUUAACUUCAGUGCAGGUCCAAAAAUCUUGCUUUUAGGUUCGUGAGUGUGCCAGUUGAUUUGAUCCUGCAAUCAACAAGAAAUAAAGACAGAAACCGCGGUUAAAUCCAUAAACGAUAGCCGAUCGGCUAGUUACCGAUGACAUAUCAAUUAUCUCUGAGCCGAUGUCAUAUGUUAAUUGAUCGGCAAUCAUGAAUAAAUAAGAAAGAACUAAAUCUACUCGAUCGGCUGUAGAUAUUAACAAUAUGUAAUUCUUAUGUCGAUAUAUACUUAAAUCAAGUGAUUGGGAUAGAUCGGUCGCGAUGCCGAGACAGUAUAAUUCACUUAGAUCGAAAUAUAUACUAACAAUGAGAUUAUAGAUGUUUAUAGCAUAGCCGAUCAGAUAGAUCUAGCAUGUAUCGGUUAAUACUCCGAUACUACUCUAUGUUAAGAUAUUAAAGCAAGCAAAAUAUAUCAAACAGAAGCCUAACAUACUUUGUUGUACUAAAAUCAUAACAUAAAGGGCUGAUUUAGCAUGUCAAUUAUGUCAAUUAUCAAUUAUCAUUCAUAAGAUAUAAAGCUAAACCAGGUAAGAUCGGCUAAAACUGCUACCCUAAUUGGCAAUCAAAAGCAGGCUAGAGAUUGAGAUUCUAAUCACGACUUAUAAGGUCAAACUCAACUGAUGCAGCUAUAAUUAUGAAAAAAAGGACAAUAUCUAGACAAUCAAGCCGUUGGAUGUUUCAUAGAGUGGUGGAUAUCCUAUAUAAUCUAAGUCAACGUUGGUAUUUAACCUAAUCGGCUGCCUUCUAGCAACAGAUGUUAGCCGAUUGAAGGUUAGAUAACAAUAUUGCCUAAGAUUAUAUAGAAUAUAUGAUAACUCGACGAAUUACAUAAACAAGAUUAGAGUAUCAUAAAGAUGGAGGCACUAAUCCCGAGAACGCAAGCCGCCAUAACAAGUUUUACCUCUAGUUGAAGAUCGAAACCGAUGCAGCUCAACUCGAGAGCAAGAACUCGUCGAAACAAAACGAAAGUAAAGGGUGGCGAUGCGCCGAGAUUGUAUUGAACUUGUGUUGUUGUAUUACAUGGGGCUCGGGGUCUAUUUAUACCCGAGAUUACAAAAUAUGUCCGUGUCGGACACGACUCUUAUCUCUAACAAACUCUAAUAUACCAUAAGUCUUUGCGGCAGACUUUUGCCCAAACAUAUCUAUAAGGAAAUUACAUGAAAUAUCCUAAUUAAUAGAUACAAUUGCCUUCUCAGGACUCAAUCCGUGCAUGGCAAUCCUCAUGAAGCACAUUAACUCAACCCGACAACGUGCAUUACAUCAUAUUGUCGGUAUUGGCUCAAUCGGCCAACCUAGUCCGACUUGAACUCUGUCUAUCCUGAUCAUAGCCGAUUCGGACUUUAGUCGAUUCUCGCUCUAUUUCCGUAACGAUCUCCAUCUCGAAUUCCGCUUUGAUUCUAUCCUCAUCUCCGAUACUUGGAUUUCCAAAUUUGGUUGUUAACACAUGCCCCUCAAGUCCGGAAUAUUUGGUAAUGUUUCGGAUUUGCCAUAUCCGUGUCUCCGAGAGUAUCGCUCAUUGCCAUUUUUCCGACCGUUACCGCCUCGCUUUAAAUACUAACCGUCGUCCCCGAGAAAUUUCACACCAUUAGCUCCGUUUUCACCGCUUAAGCCAACCUUGUUUCUUUCUCUCCGGCGAUCCCCUCGGAGCACCAUACGUCCCCAAGGCGAUUUCCCCUCCGGCCAAAUAUUCUGCCCGCGGAGAUGUCGUCCUCCGCUAGUCCGUUCGUCGCGCCAUCGGCCGAAUACGCAGAGGUAAGUAUCCAUCGGCUAGAUCCUCUCUUUUCGCAAUAGAUUGGUUCUUCCUUGCCUCAUCUUGUUUUCAUCUUCUCUGUUCUUGUUUACAUCUGUAGCACUUGUCCAAUCUGGUCGCGAUCCCAAGUUUGUCACAUGAGCAUCACUAUUUUCUUGGUCCGAUCGGCAAUCUUGAUCCCACUGAGUUCAUCAUCGCCGAAACCAAUAGGAUCCCUUUUAGAUUGGCCAACCCGAAUCUAGGUCACUAGAAGAAUACCUUCAAAUCUUGGCCUUCUCUUGAGAAAACUUUCCCUGAGAAAAGUUGGGCUGUGUGGUAUAAGUGUGUAUCGGCUAGCAAGCAAGUUCGCUGGGACGAAUUAGGAAUCGGCCAAGCGCUUGCUCUUACUCUAGCAAAUUCGGCCAAGGAUGAACCCCUGAUGGCCUCCGCAGCAUACUUUUGGUCCAACACCCUCAACGCUUUCUUGUUCAACCAAGGGCCGAUGAUUCCCACUCUGCUCGAUAUCACCAUGCUUACUGGAUUGGAUGUAACUGCAUCGGCUAACCCCAUGAGCUUGAACACCAAAAACCAGUUUGAUUUUAGGACCAAGAGCAUAGGUGGCUGGUCUGGCUAUGUUGCUGCAUACACGGGCAAAGGAUCUGUCACCCCCGGGAGCACACGGCUUUUCUUCUGAUGUGGCUUGAGAAAUUCCUCUUCCGCGGAUCAAGCUGUGGCCCUACCACCAAUUGGCAAUUCUUAGCCGAAGCCCUUGAGACCAAGAGGCAGUUCCCUCUGGGUAAAAUUCUUCUCAGCUAUCUGUACCAAAUGUUGAGCAAUGCAUCGGCCAAGAUAGCCACAGGCUCAGUAGUGGGUGCAGGUGGACCAUGGUGGCAAUUGCAAACAUGGCUUAACCUUGUUGUCAUGAUGGUUAUGAAUCGACCACCUUUAACAUAGUCUGAAUUUCCAAGGUUGGAGCCCACUACUAAUGAUGAUGGGGCGCCGAUGCCUAUCAUAUGGUGAAGCUGCAUCAACACCAGCCAAUUCUGGAGCAAAGCUAUCGGCUAAACUGCUCAAAGACUGGUUCUGCAGUUUCUAUGAGGGCUUCCAGAGAGAUGUAGGGUUUGGUUCCCAUAUGAGGAUUCAGUGAAUUUUGAUCUCCCGGUAGACUUCACAUUUGAGGAUAUCAAUUCUGAAAAAUUUGACAAAUCUAGAGAAGUCUUCUCGACUGCUAUUAGUCCAUGCAUCCUUCCUGUCGGCAUCCAUCAAGGAAGAAACAUACAAGCUUCUUAUGAGUUUUACCAUCCAAUGAGCUCAGCUAGAUAGUUUGGAAUGGGACAGCUAUCAAUCGACUUGUUCUUUGCCGAUAAGAUCCAGUACAGAGGAGAAAUCUCAUCAACAUUGAUGAUGGAUCGGCUGCUCAACAUCCCAGGACCUCCUUUAGGCAGUAUCGAGAACAUAGAGCUGGCAAGGUUCAGGAGUAGGAAUUUUGACAGAUGGUGGGGGUGAAUGGAAGCAGCAUAUAUUCCAUCAGCCGGCCUCUAUGUACAUGAUAGAUUUAUUUCCAGAUGUUGUCCCUCAGGUAUAUUUUUACUUUGUCAAUUCUGUUGGAAUAAUUGUUAGCCGACUUGAAUCUUGACUAACUUCUUUCUUUGCCUUGCAGACAACAGAAUCUUCUCCUCCUCGCAAGAGCAACAGUGGCAGGGACAUAGAAUAUGCUCCAGGCCUUCUACCAAAUGGAGGUGGAUUAGCUCCCCCAGUCAUCGGCUAUCAUGCCCCCAAGACCUCAAGUCUGCUUCAAGGGCAAAUGAGAGAACCAGCCGAUGUUGGCAGGUUAUGCAUUCGAAAUCAUGAAUGACUAAUGCAUAAAAUAAAGAUAUAGAAUAUAGGGCAUUUAUGCUCAAAGGAGAGGAAUAAUAACUUGCCUUGCUCCAACGCAAUAAAUCCGAGAUAGCCAACCUGAUUAUCCAAUGCUUGAAAUACCAAAGGUUGCCAUCCAAUUAUAAUAGACUCUACUGAAGAAGAGGAAGAACUAAAUUCAAUAAAAGAUCGAUAAGCGGCUAGGAGAGCUAGGGUUCAGGGUAUAGUAUCUCCUUUAUAGGGUAUAGGGAUUAUUGGGCUAUCAUUUGUUGGCGGUAGGUUUAGGUAGUAUAAUAGCUAGGGUUUAGUUAUAUGAGAGUCGAUUGUGGAAUAGGAUAGCAUAUCGGCUAGGCUCUAUAUUUUAUAUGGAGGUUCCAGAGGGUUGGAGGCUAGAGGGGAUUAAGCAACUACUGUCACUUAUAUUUUAUGUGAAGGCUCUCGUGGUUUGGAUGAUAGGGAAUAUACUAGAUAUUUGAUAUGGUUAAAUAGGUAUGUGGCUAAUAUGGGUCAAGGUUGGGCUUUGGUAGAAUAGUGGUUAGGGUUUAGUUGUUUAGGCCGGUAUCGAGAUAGGAUAAAUAUCGGCUAGGGUUUUGGGUGUUUGCUAGUCGUCAUUAGAGUUGGGCAACAUGACGACUAGAUUUGGUAUCUUCUCUAGCCGGUGUCGGUGGAUAAUAUAUCAGCUAGAGAAAUAGGAGGUGGGUGCAGGUUUAGUGGGGCGGAAGUGUUACUCCGACAACCGUGAGUUGUGACGGAGUGGCUAAGAUUACACAGAGCUUGAGAGCAAACUGUGUGGCCUGCUGUGGAGGUCGAGGAAAUAGUGAAGCUCCAACCGUUGUACGCGUCGAGGCGUGGGGUGCUAGAGUAUCAAUUCAACCUUGGGUUUGGGUUUUGCUAGGUUUUACAACCAACAGUUUGACGUCAUGGCCAGUAGACCGUACGGACGUCCACAUAGAAGGUGUAAAGUUUUAACCGGCGGCUUUUAGUGGCUAAAGGGUAUUUUAAAAAUAACAGGAAAUAUUUGAAAGGUAAAUAUAAGUUUCAAUUAUAAGUUUAAAUCAAAUAUUUAUUCAAAUGGUAUUUGAAUAAAUUAAGGAAAUUCAAAUAAAAUCUUAAAAUAGCAAAUUUGAUAUCAAAAUGAAGGAUUUGAAUUUAGGUCCAAGUUUUACUGGAAUCGGAUUACGGUUUAGGAGAUAUGGGCUUCUAAAGAUUGGAUUUUGAAUUAAAUCUAGAAAUUGCGAAAUAGUACUGUAGGGGGCCCACCUGUCAUUAGCUGUCCUUUUUCUUUUUCUUUUUUUUUUCUCUUCUUCUUCCUCCCGAUUCCUCUUCUCUUUUUCUGUUGGCAACCGAGAGGGAGAGAGAGGAGAGGGCGAGCGGGGCGCCGGCCCUCCGGUGGCCGGAAUGCGGCGACGCCGGUGGCAUAUCGUGUUCCCGCUCGAUGCGUACUCGAGGAGGUCGGUGGCUGGUAGAGAGGAAGAGGAAGGAAACCAGAACGGAGGCGGCAAGAACUUGCUCUGACCGCUUAAAGAAGUGAUGAUGGUGGCUGCUAUGGAGUGGGAGAGAAGGGGGAAACGGGAAAAAUGGGCUCGUCGGAGGGAGGCGAAGCCGGUGGUGCGAGGAGAGGGGAAGAGGAGCUACGGAUGGGGAGAUCGACCGACGACGUCGACGAUCGGCCAUGGGAAGAGAGAGACGGAGCUCGAAGAGAUCGGUCGAUGUGGGAAAAACAGAGGGGGUUCGUUCACUUAUAUAGGCCAUGAGAGGCGGUGGCGGAUGACGGUUGUAGAGGAGAAACACAAGGACGAUUUUGCGACGGCGGCGUGGAAAAGAAGGAGGCGGCGCCGGCUUCUUCCUGCGAUUGGUUGGGCAGUGAUGGCGUGAGGACGUGGCGGCCGUGGAAGAGUUGGGCGGCGGAGUAGGGCGCACGGUACGGCAUCGACGUCGGCGUAUGAGGUCAGCAGGUGACGGUGGCACAAACCACGGCGACGGCGACGCUGUGGGCGGCGGCGCACUAAUGGCGCACGGCAGCGGCGGCUGUGGCGCUACAUGCGCCCACAGGAAGAGGAGGGAGGUGGGAGGAUGCGGCUCAGCAGUCUGGGCCGGCUUGGGCCGCGUGAGUGAGAGAAAUUCGGUCCAAAGUUAAAAAGGAGGAAGUCUAAUUUUCCUAGAGAUUCAAAUAAUUGAUUUAGAGGAAUUUGGACGGCUAGAUUUUGAAAAGGAUUUGAAUUCGGAGAUAUUGAUACAUGGAGAAGGAUUUUAAAAUAAGGAUGCUCUAAUUUAUUUGAGUGCAAUAUUUUGAGAGAUAGAAUAUAACGGGAUUUAUUUAAUGCACUCAAAUGAGAGGGAGGGGAAAUAAAUAGGAUGUUAGCCGCAAAUUAUUUGGCAAGGAUUUUGGGGAAGUAUUUGAGGCUAAUAGGGGACUUGGAUUUUGGAUGAAAAGAUAAAACCUAUUUUCUUGGCACAAGAGUAAUUAUUCACAAUAUUUGUAAUAAUAUUAUUCUUGCACCGAGAAGGGUAUUCUAGCCACACGAUUCAAAUCGGUGGCUAGGUCAAAAGGAAGGAUUUGGAUAUUUGAAUUGAGGUUUAAGGAUAGGUUUAAGAUCAAAGGAUUGGUUAACAAUUAAUUCCAAUAAGAUUGGAAUUGCUUUGGUUUAGGUUCUAGCACAAUAUGGGAAGGUUUCUUGGACCAUAAUUCAUAAUAGUAAAAAGGUUUUCAAACUAAAUUUAAAUAAAAGAAAUUUUAGGAAAAAGAAGGUUUUAGAUUGAAACCAAAUCAAGAAAUACCUCAAGAUAAAUUUAAAAUAAAAAUCACAAAAGAUUUUGAACAUCAAAGAGAGAUUUUAUGCAAGUUAAUUUUAGGAGGGCCCUCUAAUUAUAUUGUCCUAGGUUUAGGAGGUUAUUGAGAACAUAAGAAUCAUCAUGAUGCAAGAUUAGAAAAUAGUUAAUUUUCAGGAUGUUACAUGUCACUUGAACACAUACAUGACGUGUGAAGGGGUGGGAAGUGGGUCUUUUCCGUUUUUAUAUUGUUAAGAUAGCAGUAGAAAAUAAUAAGUAUACCAUGUUUAAGUUAAAAUAAUCGAUGGUUAGGUGUAUUAUGUAAUUUCUUUAGAAUUUCUAAGAUUUAUUGUAAACUACUGGAAAAACCAUCUUUGGUCGGUCGCCCAAAAACCACAAUAGUCCCAGUUCGAAUAGGAACCGGGACUAAAGAUUAUUUUUAGUCCCGGUUAAAAACUUUUUGAUCUUUAGUCCCAGUUGAUGUUACCAAUCGAGAUUAAAGAUCAUUUUUACUCCCGGUUCAAAGAAGUUAUUGGGUCAAGUUAGGCCCCAAUCAUCUUAGAUCUUUAGUUCCGGUUCUUUAUACUACCCGGGACCAAAAAUCCUCCCGAGCGCACGUCGAGUCCUCUCUCUCAGUUUUAUAGAUAAGACCGAUAAAAACCAUAUCCACUUCCUCUCUCAUUAAAAACCAUCUCCACUCUCCAGCCUCCUCGAUCCCAUCUCAAUCUCAGGUGUUCUCCUUCUCGAUCGGCUCUAGCAUUUUUAGUCCCGGUUAGUAACACGAACCGGGACUAAAAGUUGAUUUUUUUUUUGUCUCGGUUAUUUCACCAGGGACUAAAGAUUUAUACUCCCGGUUGCAAAACCGGGAGUAUAGGGGGUUGUAAACCAGGAGGAAAUACCAUUUCUCCACCAGUGGUAGUGUCACAUGGUGGCUUAGGAGUGUUCAUAGGAGUCCCGUGUGGUGGUUUGAGAGUAUUUUGUAGGAAUUUUAGUUGACUUUUAGCAUAUAAUGGAUAGAUAUGGCAUGCUAAGUUGUCGAAAUGUGUGCCUAAUAUAUCUCUACAUGUUUCUUUAGGGAAUAUAUUUCUACAAGUAAAAUUAUACUGGUGUAAACUACAUUUUUCUGACAUUGUAGAUCUAUUUUAUUUACAUGCCAGUGAAGUUAUUAUAUAGCAUGAAACAAUAUAAUAAUGUCACUUUCUUUUCAUAAUUUUUACAAGCUAAAUUAUAGUUAAGAGGUGUAUUAAAUUCUAAUUUGUGAUUUUAGUUAUAAUAAUGACACAAAUAGAACAUAUAAUUUCAUCCGAUAGCAAAAAAAAAAACUUCCUUUAAAGAGAAACAGAGAGGAGUUAUGUACAUGCGUAUGCACGGGAAGAGGGGACACCUCUUUGUAAGAAAUAGAAAAAUCAAACUAAUCCAAGUAUCCAACGGCUUGGAGUGGUGUGCCUAUUAAUUUUAGUGAAAUCAAGGGCUAGGUUUUUUUCUCAGAUUUUUUCUAAUUUAUUGGAGCGUCACGUGGCAUUAUAGAAGCAUUUAUAUAAGCAUCAUGUGACAGCUUAGAAGCAUUUAUAGAAAUUUUCACGGACUUUUACUAUAUAAUAUAAUAGAUAGAUUGGAUAUCAUCGAUAUAAUUUAGCGAAACAUAUUUGUAGAAUUAUUGAAGGUGACAUAUAAUAUAAUAUGCCAACUAGAGAUGAGGGGAGAGAGGGAAUACGUACGUACAGGAGGCCAGGAGGGGAAUGUACAGGUGGUGGGGACCAGUGUGGAGAGAGGAGGAUUUUAUUUUUUUAUUUGAUCUAAUGGUUAAAAAUGUUGGAGCCACCAAUUUAAAAGAAAAUCAACGGUUAUAUUUUUAGACUGUCACUUGGCAUCUUAGGAGCGUUUGUAGGAGAACACGUGGCGGUUUAGGAGUACAGGUGGUGGGGACCGGUGGGGAGAGAGGAGGAUUUUAUUUUUUUUAUUUGAUCUAAUGGUUAAAAAUGUUGGACUAACCAAUUUAAAGGAAAAUCAACGGUUAGAUUUUUAGACUGCCACUUGGCAUCUUAGGAGCGUUUGUGGAGAACACGUGGCGGUUUAGGAGCGUUUGUAGGAAGUUUAAUGGACUUAGGAGGAUUUUAUUUUAUUUUAUUUGAUCUAAUGGUUAAAAAUGUUGGAGCCACCAAUUUAAAGGAAAAUCAACGGUUAGAUUUUUAGACUGUCACUUGGCAUCUUAGGAGCGUUUGUAGGAGAACACGUGGCGGUUUAGGAGUACAGGUGGUGGGGACCGGUGGGGAGAGAGGAGGAUUUUAUUUUUUUUAUUUGAUCUAAUGGUUAAAAAUGUUGGACUAACCAAUUUAAAGGAAAAUCAACGGUUAGAUUUUUAGACUGCCACUUGGCAUCUUAGGAGCGUUUGUGGAGAACACGUGGCGGUUUAGGAGCGUUUGUAGGAAGUUUAAUGGACUUUUAGUAUAUAAUAGAUAAAUAAUAGAUUUGGAGGAGAAUCGAUCAUGAAGCAAGAUCAAGGGAUUGGAAGCGCUUGAGUUCGUCGGCUGGGAGAAGAACGGGUGGCGGCUGGGGAAGACGACAACUCGUCGCGUCCCUGGGUCGGCUGGGCCGAGCCCGAGCAAGGAGGGAAGGUAACUGGGGUGAGGCGGCUGCAGCCCAAGGGAAGGAGGGGAGAGGGGGAUUGUUCAGGAGAGAUGGUCCGAGGGAGAGGAUGGCCAAGAGGGAGGGAGAGAAGGAACAAAUUCACCUUAUAUCCAUAAUUUGUCACCGAGUUUAAAAUUCAUCCACAAACCAAAAUACUAGAUAUAAUGGAUCUCUCAAUUUACAAAACUGGAUCACCUGAGGUUCUAGGUAGUAUUAUGCCCGGUUUUAGCUAACCUGGCAAACUGAGUCAGCGUGAGACCCAUGCGGGCUCCACAUAUCAAUGGCCUAUCUUCCUCUCUCUCUCUCUCUCUCUCUCCUCUCUUCUCCUCUCUCCGCCCUCUCUUCUACUCUCUUCCCAAUCAUCCUGGAUGCCGAUCGGCCGACCGACGCCAUGAGGAAGCUGUUGCUGCCGGCCCCACGCCAACAUGAGGAAGUUGCUGCUGAUGCAUGAUUGGACACGGCCUGUGUGAACUGGAAGUUGAGGGGCCAAGCGCGGCUUUGGCCGAUGGACUCCAACAAUGACGACGGUGGCUCCGAUGGGGGCACACGACGGUGGUGGCACGGGUCCGCAUUCCAGCGGCCACACUCCAUAAGCACCCGAUAUUGGCUCUGUUUAAAAAGGAAAGAUUAUGAAUUUCUGACAUCAAUGGUCACAUGGCUUAAAUUACAACUGACUAAUUCCUGAGAGGGGCGACAACGACAACUGACAGGUGGGCCCCACACGGCGCGCCCAGAGGUAGCCAGUAUGGUGCAAUCAGUGGGAGGAGGCGCCUAUGCCUGAUGAUCACUGCCAGCAACCAUCGGUGCGGCAAGACAAGGAGAGGGGGCAGGUCAGGAAGAAAUGGGUGAGGCCUCGCAACUCACUGAGACGUGGCGGGGGCAGAAACGAGAUGAGGCAGGGAUGGGCGACAAGGGGGACAGUGGCAUUCCAUUGAUCUCCAGGCUCAACAAAGGGGUGGAUGAGGACAGCGAGGAUGAAGGUGGUGAAACCGGCGACGACCUGUAAGUGGCUGCGGCGGUGCCGGCCGCACGCACAUGCUAGGCCGGCCCAAGGCCAAGCGGCGAGGAAGAGAGGGAGGGAGGUGUGUGGGGUCACCUUGCUGUUGUUGGGGAGGAGGAGGAAGAGGGGCAGAGGCUGUCCCUCGAGAUCUGGCACGUGGAUGUGGUGGGGCCAGCAGGGACUGACGACUUGUUGACGGUCCAUAAGUAAAAAAUAUAUGACCAUCAAUUAUUGCAUAAAACCAAUUGGAAUAAAACAUCAAACUUAGUGAUAGUGGUCAUUACUAAUCAUUUCCGCACGAGUUGGUGAAUAUUUGUUUGUAGGUGAAUUAUGGACGAAAACUACUAGCCAUGCGAUGAAAGACACCCCCGGACAAUUGGAAACGAGUACAUGGAUUGGAGGCCCCACAUGUUAAUCAAAAUCACCUAAAAUUAAACCCAUGUAAGGUACAACAUGCAGAUGGCCCACCAUGCAACCUCUCAGCCGAAGGAUUAAGUUUGUUUUAGUUGCAUUUAAUUUAACUUUCCUUCACAAAAUUGCGAGAGCAUCGCCACCGGUUGGACAGAGCACCACUGUCGGGGUGUGCAGCCAUAGUCGCUAGCAUCACUAGAGCAUGCAUUGCUUAUCACCUGAUGCAUACCCAGAGGGCAUUGGUUAACACCUGAUGCAUACCUAGAGGUUAGACAAAGGAGCCGACAAAUGCAUUCCAAUUGGACCUCCAUGUAGCCGAAUAAUAGAUUCUCACUGCAUCUAGUGUGUUGUUACUGAAAAAAAACAGAUAUACGGUUUUGUUUGGAAUCUAUAGAGCUGGACAAAUAGAACAUUUUCUAACUAGUGUAGCUUUAUAGCAACUAGAUUGUCUAGUGUAGCUUUAUAGCAACUAGAUUGUCCAGUGACGUUAGGGGAUUUCAAUAUAAUAAGAAAGGAAAGUGAGAAAAGUAAAAAGGGUUAUAGUAGAUAGAGUUUCUUAAUGCAAUAAUUGAGCAAAAUAAUUUAAUACAGUUUAUGAGAAAUUAGAUAGUAUUUUGGUCUCAAAUGAAUCAUUUUCCCAUGGUCAUGGUGAAGGUUAGAAGUUUAGAAAGGUUAAUAGAGCAACGCUCCGCUGAUUUCUACUUGCAGUAUUCUACUACAAGAAGAAUUAAUCUCGACCCUUUAUUUUAAAGGGUAGAUUAGUAAUCUCUUAAUAAAGAUUAGGGGUAAUUUUGGCAUGGGAUAUUUCUCUGUCUUGAUCGCUCGCAUCAGGUCCGAUCGCUACUCCCCUAAAAAAAGAUUAUUGCUACUCCUGGCCGGUGGCGGAGCGACUGGCGGCGCUGCCAGCGUUGAUGGAAAAUCGCUUCAAUCUGCUUGCACACAUCGGGCGUCCCUCGACGCGAAGGAAGCCAACGCGGUGAUCCUGCAAUCAAAUCAACAAGAAAUAACGACAAAGAAACCAUGGUUAAUCCUAUAAACGAUAGCCGAUCGGCUAAGUGCCGAUGACAUAUCAUUUAUCUUUGAGAAGACGUCAUAUGUGUAUCGAUCGGCGGUCAUAAAUAGAUAAGAAAGAACUAAAUCUACUCGAUCGGCUGUAGAUAUUAACGAUAUAUACUCCUCAUAUCGAUAUAUAUACUUAAAUCAAGUGAUUGGGAUAGAUCGGUCGUCAUGCCGAGACAGUAUAAAUCACUUAGACCGAAAUAUAUAUUAAUAAUAGGACUAUAUAUGUUCAUAGCAUAGCCGAUCAGAUAGACCUGGCAUAUAUCGGCUAAUACUCCGAUACUGAUCUAUACUAAGAUAUUAAAGCAAGUAGAAUAUAUCAAACAAAGGCCUAACAUACUUAAAUGCAACAAGAUCUUAAUAUAAAGGGCAGAUUUAACAUAUCAACGAAGCAUAUAGAGUAAAUAUAGUUAAAUCAGAUAAGAUCGGCUGAAACCCCGAUACUACCUGUUGGCGAUAUAGCAUGAGGCCCUUCGACCAAACCUGCCGAAACCAUGCGACCAGUGGGCCCAUGAACCUCAAUUAUAUUGUGUACCCAUGUAAAUGUCUCUUUCAUAAGGGCAACUAUGUAAAUUCCCCUGUAUAACCAAAACCCUAGUAGUAAGAACCUAUAAUGGGGCUAUAAACAUGUAAUAGGGGGAUCCCCCAAGAAAAAUUCUCAAGUUAAUACACUUCUUUUCCAACUACUGUUGAGUAACCACGUCUUUCGACGUAUGCAGUUGUCGUUUCGACAACACUACCCUAAUCGGCAACCAGUAGGCAGGCUAGAGAUUGAUAUUCUAAGCACGACUUAAUAGAUCAAACUCAACUGAUGCAACAUUAAGUAUGAAAAGAAGAACAAUAUCUAGACAAUCAAGCCGCUGGAAGUUUCAUAGAGUGGUAGAUAUCUUAUAUAAUCUAAAUCAACGUUGAUGUCUAACCUAAUCGGCUGCUCUCUACCGACAGAUGUUAGCCGAUUGUAGGUUAGAUAGCGAUAUUGCCAAAGAUUAUGUGAGAUAUAUGAUAACUCGACAAAUUACAUAAACAAGAUUAGAGUGUCAUAAAGAUGGAAGCACUAAUCCCAAGAACGCAAGCCGUCAUAACAAGUUUUACCUCUUGUUGAAGAUCGAAACAGAUGCAGCUCAACCCGAAAGCAAGAACUCGUCAAAAUAAAACUAAAGCAAAAGGGUGGCGAUGCGCCGAAAUUGUAUUGAACGUGUGUGUUAAUUGAUUACAUGGGGUUCGGGGUCUAUUUAUACGCGAGAAUUACAAACUAUGUCCAUAUCGGACACGACUUCUUAUCUCUGACAAAGUCUAAAAUACCAUAAGUCUUUACGGCAGACUUUUGCCCAAACAUAUCUCUAAGAAAAUUACAUAAAAUAUCCUAAUUAAUAGAUACAAUUGCCUUCUCAGGACUCUAUCCAUGCGUGGCAAUCAUCUUGAAGCAUAUCAACUCAACCCGAUGUCGUACACCAAGUCGUAUUGUCGGAAUCGGCCGUAUCACCAAACCAAGUCUGUCUCGAAUUUAGCCGAUCCAAUCGUAGCUAUCACGCCCAGAAAUUUAGCCCAAAUUUCCAGACUAUUUUGUGUAUUAAAUCCCUGUCCAGGACUAGCCAGGGUACACAAAACGACAAGUAAUAAACAGUUCCAAACGUAAAUAAAGCGUAAAAUACUUACAGGAGAGGCACUUAGUCCUCACACCGAAACAAAAGCAGCGGCAGCGGAAAAGACGAUCCUAGCGGGGCUUCAGCACCACUCCACAGGCAAAACUCAACUGAGGUCUAAGCCUUGGUCCUCUAACUUCGUCCUCAGCUCAGAAGCACUACACUUCUGAAAAGGGGGAAUAAUAGCAAGGCUGAGUACAACCACCGUACUCAACAAGCCACACCAAUGAUGCAGGCGUGCAAGGGGAAUACAAGGACGGUUUGAGGCUAUUUGCAUAAAGGCGGUUGUAAAACAUUUUAUUGAGCAAAACCGUAAAACUAUUGAGUAAUUAAAGUAGCAUUAAAUCUCCACUGAUCAACGCUAUACCACGUUGAACAGGCCCAACCAACCCACCUGAACUACAGUGCAUUGAGUCGAUUUAUUAAGGUGGGACUAAUCACGGUGAAUCUGGUCGACCGCUCAUAACCGCGGGCACGGCUAUUCGAAUAGUUUUACUCUGAUCAGAGAUGUACAACUGUACCCACAAGACACAGCCCCACGACACGUUUCCGUGCGCUGACAUGCCACCACGACAUACCGGAAAGAGGCCGUGACAGGACCCUUCGCAUAACCCCCUCUAACCAAGCACACCACACCUCAGGUUUCACCCCCAAUCCUCGCAAGGCAGCGGGCAGUCCCCUCUCGUGCCUAGGUGAAUCCGGAAGCCGCAUAGGCUGUCGCAGGGCCCAUCCAAACUCCAUCACGCCCACCCUUGUCUGGAUGCGUCAGCUAGAGGAAAGCUACACUACAAGCCCAGCCGUUGCCCACGCUGGCUUGUGGUAAGCACGAUAAAUUCUUCCAGGGUUUCCGCGAACCGGUCCUUAAUCGCCAUGGGCACGACUAGCAAAACCAUGCAGCCACAGCCUACCAUGUAGUCACAUUUUAGUUGGAUAAUUACGACCAUGAAGCAUGGCCAGAUGUCUCGAGCACGCAGCUCAUUCUGAUACUAAAAAGGUCUAAUACUGUAAUCAGCUCAUCAACUGAGCUAGUGGUAAUUAAGCAUGGCUAAGCAUAUAGUUCUAGCUAGGUCACAUAAGUAAGAUGAGCUAGUCGAUUUAUUACCCAAGGUUGACAAAGGACAGAUAUCAAGUAAAUAUGGCACAAGCAAACAGAUAGGUAAUACCCGGAUCCCAUGUAAUUAGCAACACAUGCAAUUUUAUUUGCAAACGAUAAAACAUUUAUAAAUUAGGAUCAAAAUGCUCAAGGGGAAUGUGUGACUUGCCUUGCUUCUUCACUUGGAUCUUCUGAACUCUUUUCCUCGCGACCGCGAUCUUCCGAAACGACGGAUUCUACACGCUGGCAAUUCUACACGCUGGCACGCAAAACGAAGAAAAACUCUAAUAAAAACCAAGGAAACAGUACAUAAAAAGUAAAAAAACAUGUAGAUCUCAAUUUUAGAUGAAUUUUGCAAGUUGAAUGGCCCAAUUUGGAGUUCGAAUGAAUUAGAUAUGAAUUUUAGAAGUUCUGAGCCAUUUAAAUGAAUUUCUAUAAUUAAUACCAAUUUAUUGCGCAAUUAUUAAAUAUUUUUCCAAAGGAAAUGAUAAGUGCUGACGUCAGCAAAGGGGAAGGGUGCCGACAGGUGGGCCCCACACGUCAGCGGGUCAAAGGGGGUGGCUCAUGGUGGACUCGGUCCACCGCAGCACAGGCGCGCGGGCACACCACGUGGAAGACCACGUGGCGGCCACGACGGCACGGCGGGGCGAGGUGGCAAAGGCAUGGCGCCGAGGUGGCGCCACGUGGGACACCAGCGCGGGGCGGCGCCAGAGCCACGUGGACGACCCGGAUCGCCCCGAAGGGGAUCGGGCGGCCACAGCUAGCGGGAACGGCAAAACUCGCCGGCCGACCGGCCGGGGAGCGACGGCGAGCAGCCCAGAGGUCGCCGGCGACGACCACCGGCGCGACGGCACGCGCGAGAGGCAGCGGAGGGAGGCAGAGGAGGGAGAUGGGGAGCUCACCAAGCGCACAAGGCACGAAGGCGGUGCGGGAGAGCGGCCGACAACGAGGAAAGGCGACGGCGUUUCCUCGGGGAGGCACGGCUACGGCGGUCCGAUGGCAGUCCGCGAGCGAGGAGUGGCGGAUGACAACUGGAAGAGCCUGAGGAGGACGAAGGGGGGAUUAGAAGAGGGAGAGGACGGGCAUGGCGAAGGGCAAUAGUGGCCGAAGGCCGACCGUGAGUAGAGGAGCUCACCUUGCGCGGGGAAGAUGGGGUUCGAGCGACGAUUGAUGGAGGCGGAGGGAUGGCCGGGCUGCGGGCGACGGCCGCGGUGCCGGGGAGGACAACAGCGCAGCACGGUGUGGACCGGAGAGGCGGCGCGACGCGGCCGGAGGCAGCAAAAGCGGCGCCGGCCUCGGGCUUGCGGUGGAGGUGGUGAUUCGGCGGUGGAUCGAAGGAGCGGUGUGGUGGCCAGGCUUGCCCGCGCAACGGCGAAGCUAGCGGUGGCGGCGACGCGGCGCGGCGACGGCUAGAGCGGCGAGAGGCGGCGGCUGGAGGCGGUAUAGGCGGCGGUGGCUCGGCCUCGCGGUGGGACGGUGUUUCGCGGGUGGAAGAGGGAAGGGAAACGGAUGCCGGGGUGAAGCGUGGGGCGGCGAUGCCGAUGGUGGCGACGACGCAGUGCGGCGAUGGCGAGAACGGCGGCUAGAGGCGGCCGGAGCUCGCCGGAGAGCGGCGACGGCUCGAUUUUGCGUGGGGAGGGCGGGGGAGAGUGCGGGGAGUACGGGAAAAUUGGGGAAAUGGACGAGGGUCACAUGGGAAAUCGUGGCCGAGAGGGGCGGAAUCGGGCGGCAACCGGCCGGCGACGUGGGGUGGUGUCACAGCCUGAAUUUUCGUUUUAGGAUUUAUAAAUUAUCUAAUAAAUUAUUAAUAGAAUUUUUAUUAAAUGUUCUUUAAUUUACAAGUGAAGUUAAAUGUGGGAUAUAAAAUUUCCUAAAUAUAAAGCAUGGAUGGAUUUAAUUUUUAUUAAAUUCUCCAUGAUUAAUUACACUCUCUGAAAUUUUCUCGGAUUUUUCAGAGCUCAAUUCCUAAAUGAUACAAAGAACAGUUCAGUAAUUAGUUAAUCAAUUAAUGAUCUAAUUAUAAUUAUGUUAAGUGCUUUUCUUGUUUAAAAAUCCUUAAUUUAUAAAUUGUUGUCUAAAAGGAAUUAUUAGAAAUGAUCUUAAAAGCCUAGAAGAGAAGAUCUAUUUUUUUUAAAAUUUGUUAAAUCUCAAUAUAAAAGUGGGCUAGAAAAAAAUUCAUUAAAUACUUUACUUGAUUCUAUAGUUCCUAGAUUUUUCUGGGAUUUAUUUGAGCCAAGGAAGUAUUUUUAAUCAAUGGAAUAUCAUUUCAUGAAUAAUUUAAAUAGAAAAAGGUUUUAAAAUCUUUCUUUUGGUUUUGGGCCGAAAGUCAGCCCAAGUCUCUCUUUCUCCCUCUCCUCGGACUGCUUGCAUCUGGCCCAGCCGGCCCAGUCCGCCGCGCCCCUCCCUCCUCUCUCUCAGCCGCUGACAGGCGGGACCCACCUGUCGGGGUCGUCGCCCUCCUCUCGUCGCCCGGCCGCGCCCGAGCCGCCACCGCUGCCCUUCCAAAUUCCGUUGCCCCUCUCUAUUUCCGGUCAAAUUGAUUGAGGGCAAAUGAUCCUUGAGAUCUCCUCUUCCUUUUCUCUUUUGGAAACAUUGGCUAAUUUUCUUUGGAAACCAGUGGAUUUGAGUUGGAUUCGGAUUCAUCUCUCUCCUCUAACCCUAGAGUUUCCUUCUCGCCGCCGGUCACCGUGGGCCUCCGUCGCCGCCUCCUAGCCACUAUAAAAGCAUCCCCGGGACCUCCUCUAUCCGCCGCCACCUUUGCCUUAGCCCGCCAUCGCGUCUAGCGCCGCCUCCGCGUAGCCCUAGCCGUCGCCGUCGUUGCCGUCGGUCCAGCCGUGCGCCGCCGUCGCUCCAGUCGUCGCCGUCGCUCGGGGAGGUCGCCAUCGUGGUCGCCGUUGCGUCGCCGUCCCCAUCCACCGCUUCGCCGCCGCUGUAGCACGCCGGAGCACCGCCGUCACCGUCGACCCGAAGACCGCCGCCGCUUCAACCUCGUCGCCGUCGUCAUCCGUCGUCGUUUGUCGUCGUCCAAGAGCUCGGUGAGUUCGCCGCGUCGCUCUCUACCCGUUGGUGUCCUCCUUUUGCGUCGUCGCGCCGUCGUUCGCCGGCGAGCAUGUGUUGCCGAGCCGCCGCCGGUGAUGACGUCAUCGUCGCUGUCCCCGUAGACCCGCUGUGGACCAUUUUGAACUCGGCCGCCCGUUUUGGAUAGAAUCGAUCUCGGCCGUUCGUUUCCUUAGACUGUCCCGUGCACCCGGUUUACCGUGGACCGCCUUGGAUGACGCAAUAAUCCUCCUUUUCCUUUUCAAAAAUAAUUCAUUAUUGCGUCAUAAUUCAAUUAAAAUCCAUAUAAAUGCUUUAAUCCGGUUUAAUCUUUAAAAAUUCAUAUCUAAUUCAUUGUAACUCGGUUUAAUGUGGUUCAAGUUGCAAAAGUUGUGUAAAAUAAAGAUCUACAUAUUAAAAUUAUCCAUAAAUUGAAUUAAAUUUAUUUAAUUCUUUUUAAAUGGGCUUUAAUUAGAUUUAAUCUAGUAAAAUUCAUAAUAAAUUCAUAUGAAGUCAGAAUGAGGCCGUUCAAGUCUCAUAAUUCAUCUAAAAUUAUGAUCUACAUGUUUGUUUACUUUUUAUGUACUGUUUAUUUGGUUUUUACUAGUCUUUUUCUUCGUUUUGCGUGUUAGCUUGUCGUUUCCGUCGUUUUGAAGGUUCGCGAGUGCGCCGGAAGUAUUAUUUAAUGAUGGCUUAAUAAUAGUUCACGAUGGUCAAUCGUGAUUGGUUAAUUAAUUACUUGCCAACUAAAACUUGAUAAUGGUGGGUUGUGAGCACAUGGUUUUGAGAGUCGUGCUCAUGACAAUUAAGGACCGCUUCGCGAGCUACUAUUGUGAAACAUUAACCGUGCCAACCACAAGCCAGCGUGGGCAACGGCUUUACCUUUUGUAUAGCAUGGUUCAUUGCAGAGCACCAGACUGAGAAGUGGCGGAGAUAAGCCCACGGGGGUCGCUGGGGAGUCCAUGCCUUGUUUAUAAGGGGGUGAUUAUGAUCCAGGAACGGUGCACUGCUUUGAGUUGUGUUGUGCGAGGGGUACUGUCACAGCUCCUUUCCGAGGUACCGUGGUGGUAUUGAGGCGCAUGGUGACAUGUCGUGGGGCUGUGUCUUGUGGGUACAGUGGUACACCUCUGGCCAGAGUAAAACUAUUCGAAUAGCCGUGCCCGCGGUUAUGGGCGGGUUGAGCAAUGUUUUUCGUGAUUAGUCUCACACCUCUCACAAUAAUUAUUGAUGCUAUAACUGGUAAUAAUUUGUUUAGCUCCUGGUUUGGAGUUAGAUCUGUACAGCCGGGUAUGGUUGUUCAGGAUGGUUGGGCCUGUGCAGCAUGGGUGUGCUGUUCAGUGUUGAUUAAAAUUUCUGAUUAAUUACUCUACUGUUUUACUACUCUUAACUCUUUGCUAAAUGCUGCUUUCGCAAAUGAGACUAUAUUAUGCCAUCCUUUGGUAUCCUUGUGCACUUGCAUAUUUGCUGUGUGGCUUGUUGAGUAUGUCAUAUGCUCAUUCUUGCAAUAAUCAAUCAACCUCAGUUGAAGAAAAAGGAUCCAGAAGGGGAAGACGUUUGGUUUAUACCCCAGUUGAGCUGCUUGUGGGAGUGGAGCCGGAGCUUCGCUAGACCGUUAUUCCGCUGCAGUUUUCUUUUCUUUUGUAAGUAUGUAACGUUAUUAUUGAUGAUUCUGUAUAUUAAAUUGUCAGUUUGUGUACCUCGGUUGAUUCCUGGACGAGGGUUUUAUGCACAAAUUAGUUCGGAAAUUACUAGUGAAUUUCUGGGCGUGACAGGUGGCGACGUGGAGCUUGAGAGAGGUCAAACCGGCGUGAUUUUUGGGGAAAAGUGGGGGAAAAUGAGGAGGAGUGGGUGGCGACCACGUCCGCACGGUCGGACGUGCGCGCGGGAGGCGGCGGUUUUAGCGGCGGGGUGGGGCGGCAAUGGCGGCAGUUGCCAGUCCAUGGCGAUGGGGUGGCUGGAGGUAGGGGAAGGGGAUGACAUGUGGGGUCGCAGGUCCCACCUGUCAACCAAUGGAAGAGAGAGGGGAAGCCGGGUGGGGGUUUUCUAGACUUUGGGGGGGAGAGGGGAGCCGAGCUGGGCCGAGCGGCCCAAAGAGGAGAGGGGAGGGAGGCGGGCCAGAGGGGAAGGGGGAAGGAAUUUGGGCCGAGCCCGAAAGGGAGGAAGGGGAAGAUUAUUUUCUUUUCUUUUUAUUUAAAUUGAUUAAAUGAACUUUGUAUUAUUAUAAUUAUUUCUUGAGCUUUGAAAAUUCGCAGAAAAAUCCUGAGAGUAUUUUAGGGCACAAAGAAUAUUACAAAAUAUUCUCGGCCAAUGAUUUUUAAAGGAAAAUUUCAAAUUCUCCCAUUAUUUCACUUGAUUGAAUUGACUUAACUUUUAUUUAAUUUCUAGAAAAUGCAUUAUUUAAUGAUUUUUAAUCCUGAAUGAAAAUCGGGUCGUUACAGUAGCCGAUCCGAACUCCAGCCGAUUCUUACUCUGUUCUCGCGAUAAUCUUUAUCUCUGAUUCCGCCUUCCUUUCCAAUGCCGAUGUUACCAAAUUUGGUUGUUAACACCGCGGCCGGCGUGCCAGUGCCUCGCAGCGUGCGCGCAACUGUACAUGUCCGUCAUCUCCUAGCUCCAGGAGAAAGAUGUACCUAUAAAUUACAAUAGUACCCCUACGCAAAUUAUUAUCCCUGGACGAAUAUACCCCUCCAUAUUUCUACUACCACUAACUUUGGUGGAAGUAGAACUAAAUCGCAACCCUACAAUUAAAUAUGAUCAACGUCUCAGAUUACUUUCUACUCUAAGUAGAAAGCACCGGAGCAGGACUCUAUUUUCUGAUCAUGUGCCAAUUCUGGUAGAUACAGUACAUAUGUUUGUCCCUCAGAUAUACAUAGGUUUAUUUGAGCAAACUUUAUUUUAACUUAGGUUAGGUUAGUUUUUUUAAGUGUCCUAAUUUACGCUCUUUCCAUUUUAAUUAGCACAUAUUCAUUUUAAAAUAGAUUCACUUUUAUCCUCUUAUCUACCCUUCGUUAAUAAAUCCAUGAGUUUUAUUUCCCCAAUACCCCUUAUCUACUUAUUCACUAACACUGUUUUCUUGUUAAUUAGAAAUACUUUGGUCUUUUCCCUAUUAAUUUGAACUUAAUUGGCAAGAAAUGAAGUUAGUUUCACGUACGGAGGUGGUAAAACUUUAAAAGGAGUGGGGUCCUGGAUAAUGGCAUGGAUGAAUCGGGAUAGUUUAGACUGUUUUUCCUCACCCAAAUAACUAUAACUUGACCAAUAUAGCAUCCGUAGGAAAUACGUAGUCCAUCUUGACGAUCUAGCUAGAUACGUACCAUGUCGCAUAAAUUGUCACUUGGGGUACUAUUUUUUGUCUUGAAAAAAUGAAAGAAAAGACGGUACAUACAGGACUUUUUCAUCAGUUUGCAAACUUUUCAUCUCAGGCUUGUAAUCAUUAACGCCUGGCACACGUGGCGUAGAGUGGCCGACGCGUUAACAGCCAACGAAAGAGUCAUCAGUCACGGACCGCAUCCACGACUGUUUUCACAUGUACGUUUUGCUAGCUACAACAACAAUUUCACCGUCUCCUAGCUCAGAUACGCCUGCUACAACAACAGAGUUGAAAGCAUUUGCCUCAUACUCCUCCGUGGUGUUGGAAACGCCCAUGAGUCAAUUGGGAGCCCAAGGGACAGGAAACUCCGAGUCAACCAAGGCGGCUGUUGGUGAGGUGGUGUACUCCGACGAGGUUUCGACACAGCUAGUGAAGUUGGCAACGACUAAGGUACUUUCUACUGAGGUUGCUGUGCAGCUAGCAGGAACAGAUGAGGUGGUUACGAAUGGCAAAGAGCAACAACAAGAACCUGUCAGCAUUGCACAAGAAUUACAGCAUGUUUCAGCUAGCUUGUUGUCUCCCGUGGAGCAUGUAUUGGAUUGCAACGUGCAGUCUGAAUUGUUCCCCGAGAAUAGCCGGCUUGCAGGCGAUGGAAGAGUAGCAUCGACUAAGAACUUGAUGGCAGUACUAGCAACCAAUGAAGACCAACUUAGUGCCUCCAGGGCUGCCACAUCUAAAGCCCAGGAUUCAGCACAGGCAGUUGGAGCUCGAUCCCCGACAAGAAGGCGACCUCGUCGCCCAGUGGACCCUAUUCCAACUAGGCAAAGUGAAAGAUAGAAGGCGAUAGCAAAUGCAGAUGCGCCGGUGGCAAACCGGGCAGAGCUGCUAAAAAAGGUUCAUAACCUUGAGACGCUAACAGGUAACAAGUUUAAUACCACAAAUUCUGUUGUUUCAAUUCCAGAUAAGACUCUUGCUACAAAUUUUUCUAAAUUAGGGGUUUCUCUAGGAAAGAAUGAUUUACAAAUAAAGGAAUCCAUUAACCAGAUUAAAAUUUCAGAAGUGGAUAGAUUUGCUACUCUUUAUAGUAGUGCUGUAGCGUCUACUAGUAAUGUAGAUAAAAACAACGAUGAAUUGUUAAAAUUGUCUUCUCUCCAGCACUUAUGUAGUGACUGGCUAGAAGAGGCUGAGAGUAAUGACGAUGAGUCUAUGGAUUCUCAGGCCAUACCUCGAAUGAGGAAGAUUUCGACCAAAGUCAAACAUAAAGUGGUAUGUCCUCUUUUGACUGGUCCAAAAAAGAAAGCUAAUAAGUUUAAGAAAUGAAAGGAAUAUUUUGGAAUAGUUGUGGCUUUGGUGAUGCAUCUAAAUUUAGAUUUAUAUCUGAAUGUGUUAAGGAGCAAAAUUUGGAUUUUAUUGCCAUUCUUGAGACUAGAAAACCAUGAUUCACCCCUUCAAAUCUUAAAAACCUUUGUGGUGGAAAAGAUUUUCUUUGGCAUGAGAAACCUCCUAUCGGGCGAUCAGGAGGAAUACUUUUAGGAGUAAAUUUAAAUGUUUUUGAUAUAGGUGAAAUUUCAGAAGGGGACUUCUAUGUGAAGUUUCUUCUAAGAAAUAAAGAGGAUGGUUUCAAAUGGGUUUUUAAUGGCAGUAGCACCAAUAGGAUUACAACGGUUGCUCACAAAGUCAUUCGCCCGACCCAAACGGCGUUUUUGCCAGAUAGAAAUAUCAUGGAAGGGGUGGUGAUUUUGCAUGAGACUGUCCAUGAGUUACACACAAAGAAAAUGGAUGGUAUCAUAUUCAAAAUUGACUUUGAAAAGGCUUAUGACAAAGUUAAAUGGCAGUUCCUUCAGCAGACAUUACGAAUGAAAGGGUUUUCACAAUCAUGAUGCAAUUGGAUUUCUAACUGAGUUGAAGGAGGAACUGUAAGUGUCAAAGUCAAUGAUAAUGUAUGAAAAAAUUUCCGGACAUGCAAAGGCUUGAGACAAGGGGAUCCAAUGUCCCCAAUUCUUUUUAACAUAGUGGCUGACAUGUUAGCCAUUCUUAUUGAAAGAGCCAAAGCCGAUGGCCAAAUUAGAGGGGUAAUUCCAUACUUAGUGGAUGAUGGUUUGUCCAUUCUCCAAUAUGCCGACGAUACAAUAAUAUUUCUUGAACAUGAUUUUGAACAAGCAAAAAACAUGAAGGCCAUUGUUUGUGUGUUUGAACAUCUCUCGGGGCUGAAAAUAAACUUUUAUAAAAGUGAAUUUUUCUGCUUUGGGGGAGCCAAGGAAAUGGAGGACCAAUAUAGACAACUGUUUGGUUGUAAUUCUGGUUCCUUUCCAUUCAAAUACUUAGGAAUCCCCAUACACUAUCGAAAACUCAGAAAUUCUGAUUGGAAAUGUGUGGAGGAUAGGUUUCAAAGAAAACUUAGCACAUGGAAAGGCAAAAACAGCUCCUAUGGUGGGAGAUUGGUUCUUCUUAACUUGGUUCUUUCGAGUCUUCCCAUGUUCAUGUUAUCCUUUUUUGAAAUACCUCGAGGUGUACUUCAAAGACUGAAUUACUAUCGAUCGAGCUUUUUCUGGAGCAGUGAUAGCCAGAAAAAGAAAUAUAGGUUAAGAAAAUGGGAUUAUAUAUGCCGGCCAAAAGAUCAAGAUGGACUGAGUGUCCUAAAUCUUGAUAUCAUGAAUAGAUGUUUGUUGAGCAAAUGGCUAUUCAAGCUUCUUAAUGGUGAUGGUCUAUGGCAAAACCUUUUGCGCAACAAGUACUUAAAGGGUAAACCCCUCUCCCACAUGUCAUCCACAGAGAGAGAGCCAUCUCUCUGGACUGCACUCUUAUAGUCGACAGCUCUAUGUGGCUUGUCAACCACCGGACCGUAGCUCCUCACACCAAGAAACCCAGUCUUCCCCCAGAAGACUGUCUUCCUCGACUAUACAUUCUCCUACCCCAAACACUCUAACCCAGACAGCAUUCGUUAAACGGUAGCUUCCGCGCCCUUCCUGCCUGCUGAAAUUGAUGUGAAUGAUCGUGUCUUCGACAUCAAUUUCAGUCUGAUUAGAUAUGUCAUUGAAACAAAUCCGUUUUGUCUCUGUUUUCUUUUCGGAUGAGCCAGAAC